GGCAUUAGUACCAUUAAUUCUCCCAUUGAACAGUUUGCCUUGGUUUUAACAUUUACAGACUGUUGGGAUAUUUUUGUUUGGUUGCAGAUUAUUCUGCUAUUACUUCAUUUAGAAACUGACUUGUUUACUCAGUUAGGUUCACUUAAUUAGCGACUAUAACUUUGGAUUUUGUUUGCCUGUGUGAGUUUGGAGCUUUGUAUAAGCUCUGAAGUAUUCUUUGCAUUUGCUUGAUUUUCAUAGAUCCGUUGUUGUGUUUCUCAGUGUCUUGCUUUGAGUCUCUGGUUCUUGUUCAUGUUUUGACCAUUGAACUUCUAAAUAUUAGCUUUGAUGUGACUUCUAAAUAUUAUUUGUUUAUUUUUAUUUUGGUUUGUGAGAUGUCAGGUUUUCGUGUCACGAAAUCUCGNUGUUAUAUCUUCUUUUUAGGUGCAUUNAUGAAACAGGUUGUUCUUAANUUGACUUAUGAAUGAUACUGUUUAAUGUGCUAUAGUUGCUUUCUUACAUCGUGUUUCUUUUUGUAUAUUUUAUCUUCCUUUAUGCAUGCAGGGUAUUCGCUGCUUAUUCUGAGUCUUGGUGUGUUAUGUAAUGAGAUAGCAUAGCAUCCAUAUGUGUCCACUAAGUGCAGAUAAUUUAAAGUCACUCCUGUUAUGUGUAAUAUUUUACAAGGCUUGUAAUACUUUUUACAUAGUCGUAUUUAUGNUGCCACGAAUCUACUUUAUUUUCACUUGAUGGUCACAAUACUCCUUGAACUCCUGAAUAAGGCCACUUUCUACGUUUCAUGUUCAAUAUUCUCUUCUAUCCAAUCUCUUUUCUUGCACUGUAAAUUAGUUUAAACUUUUUUUAAAUACAAUCCUAUAGAAGUUUAUGAAGUUGAUAAAGGUUUUGUAUAUGACAUGAUUCAAUGAUAUGAUGGUGUAUAACAAAACCCUAUUCUUACCACUGUUCUUUGGUUUUGUCCAUGCUCGCUUCCUCCUCCAUUCCUCUUUUUGUUUCUUUCCAGUACAUUCCUUUUGUGAAUAUAUUUUUUAAAUUGAAUACAUUGUUUAUAUGUUUUAUUGUGCUGUGUCUUUUUGAUCUUUUUGAUCAUGAAACUGUUGCAGUUCAAUCUUACUUUUGUGGAAUUUAACCUUAAGUUAACCUUACUUGUGCAUACUUUUUUGCAGUGAUGGAAUUCAAUAAAGCAAAAGAUGGUAGAAAUGUAAGUAAAGUGGUUGUCUUGAAAAUGUAGUUGUUCCUUUCAAUAGUGAAGGUUAUUUUUUGUAUUUGUUGCAAAUAAUAUGCAGCCUCGAUACCGAUCGUGGUGUGAGACGAAAGUCAUUGUGGAAAUUAAUUCAAAACUCAGAGAAGUUGACCGGAUUCGAAUUGGACAAACGCCAUUCAAGUGGUGUGUUAAUAUGGACAAGGUGUUAAUUGGGAGGGGCAAUGUGGGUCAAAAUUCUAUGUUGUUGAUUAUGAUUCUCUCUCAAACGACAUUCAUUGCAGUUGCAAACUUUUUGAGUUUAGAGGAAUCUUGUGUCGUCAUUGCUUAUUGGUCCUAGGUCAGGAAGAUGUGCGUAAUGUACCAACAAAAUAUGUUUUACGCCGUUGGAGUAGAAAUGUACGUAGAAGACACACUUUGAUAACAGCAUCUUACAGCAACCACACUCAAGAACCUAAGAUGCAGAGAUACCAAACUUUGUGUAAAUGUUUCUAUGACAUCGCGGAGGAGGCAUGUCAGUCUGAGACUACUUCGAAGAAGUUGCUUUCCGAGUUAAACUCUAUAGGAAAAAGUUUAGGGGUACGAACAUCACCGACAUUGAUGUUGGUCAACGAUGAUGGANUUGACAUGCAUGGAAAUCCCCCUUCUACUGAAGAAGGUCGACCACCUUGUGAAGUUGAUGGCUUGGUUGUUCACAGUCCUGUCUCUGUCAAACGCAAAGGGCGACCACNAACAAAGAGAAUGCAAUCAACAGUUGAAAAAUUAACAAAGAAGAAAAAGUCUCAUGGUGCUAAAAAUAAACAUACAGCGAAUCAUAGUGUGAGUGAAACACAAAUUUGUCAUUUAAUGUUUUUUAGUAAUANUAUACGCUAAUAAUCCUUCACUAAUACUUUUAUUACAGGAAAGAACUGAUUGUCAUGUUACAAACAUCCAUAAUGUUGAGGACCUUGGAAGUCAACAGAUGCUUGAAUCUCAAGUUUCACAAUCGGGAUUCAUGUCCUUAUUGACAUCUGCACAGUACAACAAUGAUAAUGUUGACUUGUCACCAUGUACUUAUACACACCUUUAGGUNAUGGACUUUUGGAAGUGGACCAAUUUUUGGGGUAUGUUCCUUCAUUUCAUCAUUUUUUGGGUACUUUUAAAACUUUAAUUUGAACUUGGUAAUAUGAUUCAUUUUGUGUGCAAUUAUUUGUUUGCAGGAGGAACUUCAAGAUAUUAGGGAGAACUAUGUUUGUGAUCCUCAUAAUAUGAGGCGAAAAAAAACUCUUGCAAUAUAUACAGUUCAUGUAUUACAUUUUGAUGAAACAAAUGUAUUGUUAAUAUUUAUUAGUAAUGCAAUUUGAACAUUACAAUGAUGAUUGUGUUAGAUUUCGUAAUGAAUUUGACAUGGUUUAAUACAACACUGACUAUUAUUUGUGUAUGAUAUUUGUUGCACAAUGUCCAGGAAUUGUUUUGCAUAAUGUGUGUUUAAGGUGCUAUUUACAAGGUCUUAUUUCUGCACUAAAAAUAUGCAUUUCAAAAUAAGUCUGAUUAAAACAUUCCCUUUUCGUGCAAGAACUUAGCCACAACUACCCACAUAAAAUGCUUCUGCUACCACUAAAAUCUGUGCACCAUGAAUUCAAACAUAAACGUUUUCUUGGGGAUGGAGUGCAAUGUAAAUGUCUCAUUAAAACUUAUUUAAUGAAUUUUAUUCAAUAUAUCUCGUGGAUAACAAGGUCUGGAGUCCAAAAAUAAUUUCUUCAUUGAAAAAUGCCCUAUUCGUGUCGAAAGUUAGUCUAAACUACCCACUUAUAAUGCCUUUGCUACCACUACAAUUUGUGCACCGUGACUUCAAACAUAAACAUUUUCUUGGAGAUAGAGUGAAAUGUAAAUGUCUCAUUAAAACUUAUUUAAAACAUUUUUAUUCAAUAUAUUUGGUGGAUAACAAGGUCUGCAGUUCAAAAAUAAUUUGUUCAUUGCAUGAUGCCCUCUUCGUGCAGAAAGUUAUUCUAAACUACCCACUUAUAAUGCCAUAGCUACCACUUAAUUCUAUGCACCAUAACUUCAAACAUAAACGUUUUCUUGGGUAUGGAGAGCAAUGUAAUUGUCUUAUUAAAACUUAAUUCAUGAAUGUAAUUCAAUAUAUUUGGUGGAUAGUAAUGUUUAGAGUUCAAAAAUUAGUUGUUCAUUGAAAGAUGCCCUCUUCGUCCAUAAUGUUUUCUUAAACUACCCAUUUAUAUCAUCCUUGCUACCACUUUCUAUUCUGCAGCAUGAUAUUAGUUUAUGCACAAAAGUUGAAUUGUAUUCAGUAUACAAACCUGCCUAACACAAAAGUUGAAGAUGCUUGCCCAUCUAAAUUCACAAACCUGCCUAACACUUAUUUUAUGCACACAAACAUCACAAUCACUAAUCAAUGUAAUAAAAACACCUUCAUAAAAUCCAAGUAACUUCAAAAAAGUUCAAAUAAGUAAAUGUUUGUACAUCAAAAUCAAAAGUUCUAUUAUCCAGGCCAUGUAGAAUAGUAACAUCAUAAGUUCUGUUAUCAACAUCAAUAUAACUACAACAUAUUGAAGUACUCAUUUCUGUCUUCUACCAUCUACUGUAAAUGGAGUUCUCUUGGCCCUACUCUUAAUCCUUAUUCGAGGUGCAGCUUUCAUACGAUCAUACAUUGUGCUUUUCUUGAUUGUAAGCUGACCUUCACACCUAGGGGUUUGUUCGUGAUGUUGAACCGGUGUGCUUUGUAAUGGAUCUUCAUUUGCGCUAAACGGCAUAUCAUCAAAGUCUUGUCCAUUAUCAUCAUUUUUCACUUCACUUGCACUACAAGGCUUAUCAACAAAGUCUUCACCAUUGUCAUUAUUGGGGACUUUUUUUUGUCUUCCUUCAAAAUACUUUUGAAAUGAGCAAUACUAGUUUUCAUGCUCCCAAUAACCCGCGUUUCUUCUUCUAUAAAGCGAGCUAAUUUGACCUUAUCUACUCUAUUUUGCUUGUUCGAUGGCACUUGAUAUUUGCCAACAGCUUCUUUCACUAUAGCAUAAGAAAGCUCUUCUUUCGAAAUCCCAACAUCAACAACAACCUGAAUAAGUUAACAAAUAACUCAAUUUAUCAAUCACAUAAUAUAAUAAACAUUUAGCCAACACAUUGCUUAAAUGAAAAAGUACUCACCGAUCCCUUAUUGAAAGCAUUCUUUAUGAACUUGUCACUGAUAUUCACAUGAAUCCAAUUCAACAACCUUGGAAACUCUGAUAUCCUUGUACUGUACUUUGAGUUGGAUGUCACAAAAUGAUGACAAAACCAUACCUGGAAAGGGUAAAUAAAACAACAUUGACACAAUAAGUCAUCACAAACCUUAACAUAUCAAUCAAAUUAAUUACUGAUUAAAUACAUAACAUAUACCUGCAGAAGGUAUGCACAUCCAGAAACAUGAAAAUGGCUUUUGCUUCUUUCAUUCUUCAUUGUUGUUGAAGCACUAGACAAACUUUCUAUAAAGUACUCAUAAACUACACUACCCCACUUGUAGUUACCCAGACAGCCCAAUUCAGAAACAAGGUCAAAUAGAAUUGGAAAAACUAAUCCACUACGACUGGGAAACAAAAAUUCACUUAUCCCAACCAAUAAAUAUAAGCUGCAAAAGUGUUCUAAUGGAAAAUUAUCAUGUUCCUCUAACAAAAAGUCAUACACCAUCUUAAGAUCUACAUUCCCAUUAGGAAAGUAGUCCCUACAAACACUUUGAUGACCAACUUUAUUUAAAUCAAUUGCUUCACCUACAAUAGGCAACCCUAAAGAUAAACAAACAUCAAGUUCAUUAAAUUCUAUAAUUUUGUUUCCAAAAUAAAACCCUCCCAUGUUAUCGAUCCACCUAUCACAUAAAUCACCCAACACAUUCCUACCUAUCUUAAUAGANUUCGGCAACAAUAAAAACCAAGAAAAAAUAGUCUUCUCAAUAAAAGCCUUUUGUUCAGGAUUCAGUCUUUCGUUCAAAGCACCAACCAAUUGUGUCUUGCAUGAGUGUUUAAAAACUAACUGCAUACCAAAAAUUCGUAAGUAUUCAAAUACAUAACAACAACAAAUGCAUGCAAAUGUAAUACAACCACACAUACCUUCUUCCUCGUAUAAGAACAUUCAGUCUUUUGUCCAACUUCCUCCAUUACACUACACCAAAAUAAGGUCAACAAAUAUAUUAAGAACAUUAUGCUGAAAAUUAGAUUCCACCCAAGUUUAAACCUAUAUUAAGGACAUGACAAGGUAGAUUCCAUCAAGCAAUGCUAAUAAUUACACCACUCAAUUUUGAAAUUAGACAACUCAACUUCUUAAACAAACAUAUUCUGGGAAAGUGAUGACCAAUGCUAACAAUUGAUUUCAACUUCACUGCAAAAAUCCUUUUCAUAUAAUCAACCUUUACAUUUUGCAUACAUGAAUAUAUAUUAACGAAUCUGAGUGAUGGUGUUAUGCUAACUAUCUUUUUUCAAAACAACUAUCAAUAUCUGGUAGGUUUUCCUUAAAAACGUUCACAGUGAUAUGGUUAUACUUAUGGCCGCAAGAGCAUCAAGGAUACAGAACCACGAUAGCGAGUUCGAAGCACACAAGUUCAUCUCAGACAAAGUAUCCAACAAUAAUAGAAUAACUAUGCUGUCAAUUCAAAAACCAGAGAAAAUAUGUAAUGUGAAGUUUCAUACUUAGCGUUAGUAAUUAAUCAACACAAUAUCACAUAUCAAUCGUUCCAAGCACACAAGUAUCAUCUCAUACAAAGCAGCCAACAAUAAUAGAAGAUAUCAUCUCAGUAUUUUUGCAACCAAGGUUCGAAAGUCUCGUAAGGUUCAAAACUCUCCCAUAUAGAAAAAAAAAUGAAAAUACACCUACCUCGCCAAGGUAGGGUUAGACGGCCACGGUGGCGGUAGCGUUCGUCGACGCUGGAAACGACACGAGUGGCGGCUGGAAGACACCCGGAGAAUGACCGGCGGCGCCGCCUCCUAGUUGACCUCCGGUGGCCGUUCAACGGCGAACGACGGUGGAGUUGUCAAGGGGGUUUGGUCGUUUCUCGGUGUCGGAGCUUUGAUCGGUGGCAGAGCUUUGAUCGGUGCUCCUCCGGCGACGGUUAAAGGGCGCCGAUGAGACGGUGGGGCAAGGAUGAAAUGUGGUUGGGAUGAACACUUUCUCUCUCUAGGGUUUCAAAAUGAAAUGUGAUUUCAAAAUCUGAAAAGGAAAAGUGAUUUCAAAAAUUUUUCAAUGCCCUCUCUCUGUCAGACCAUGGUUAUCCACGUCAUUUCAAAUUUUUUUUAUUUCAUUCAAAACUGACCAAUCAGAGCCUGACACAUCGAUGGAGUAAAAAAUUUGUCAUGGAGAGGUUGUCAAAGUAUCAUUUUUCUUUUUUAUUUUAGGUGUGAAAUCCUCUUUUAAUAAUAUAAAAUUAUUAAAAUAAAAUGUUACAACGAAUAUGAGACUUCUAGAUAAGGAGAUUUUACACUUGAAAAUGAACAUAUCUAUGUUAUUGCUUCAUCCUCCUCCUCCCACAUAAACAAUUAGAAAAUAUCCAUUUUCUAAGUUCACACCAAUUAAGGUGAUCAUUGUAAAAGAGAAAAACAUACACAAACAAAUAAAGACAAAAAUAAAGGCAAGCUAGUGAUACAAAACUAUUAACCAUAUACACAAGCAUUUUACAAUUUAAUCAAGUUUAGCACACACAAACCAAAACAUCUUAACAUACAAAGUCCUAGAUUGGACUAUUAGGAUUUAGUACGAAUGUCGAACUAUGACAAGUUGUACACUUAUUGUGGUCUCUACAUUUUUGCAAAGUCAUUGCCAACGGGUUUCACCCUACCAUACUUACAAGGUUAGUUUGUUCCACGCCUUGGAUCAUACUAGAAGCACUUAAGACUAAGACUUCCUGCUACUCUCACCACAUGUGUCAAUCUUCUCUACUUGAGAAUGAAACACCAUUAAAGUGUCAAGAUAACUCCCAACACUGAACUCCCUGCAUUCAUACUAAUAAUACUUGAAACCAUACCAUGAUAUUCCACCUUAGAACUCAUUUCACAACUUUGAAACCAUUUGAUGUCACUUCACAUUCACAUAGUAUACCAAUACCUUGGAACUCGUGUCACAACUUUGAAAUCAUUGAAAUUACUUCACAUUCACAUAGUAUAACAAUACAUGAAACUAUUGGUCAUACAUUAGAAAACUAGAAACACUCUUACUAGUCAUCAGAAAUCAUACAAUAACACAAAAUUUCUUCGUAGCAUCUUGAUACCCACAUUAGGUAAGGAAAACAACUUGGAGACCCUCACUAAAAGCUUUGGAAGGGUCUAAAACGAUCUAAAGAACGUCCAAAACUAAUACCCGAAACCUAUAAUUUGAGAUUCCCAAAAACAAAAAAAAAAAAAACACCAAAAAGUUGGCUGAGGGGCGCUCAGCCACCCAAAAGGGCGCUCAGGUGCUAGACCCCUGGAACAGGGGUGCUCAAGGGAGUUCCUCUCGCAAAAAGGGCGCCCAGAAGGCGCUUAAGGGCGCCUGGGCAUGAUCUUUUCAGAAAAAGGGUGCUUAGGGGGCACCCAAAGCUACACCAGGUUCUAAAACUCUCAUAUUUUUAAUUUAGUAACCCUAUACACAAGUUUAAAUGAUUCCUAAACACUCUCAGGCACCGAGAAACAUCUAAAAACAAAUCUCUAACUUGAAUUGACCACUCCAAACCUAAACUUACCAUUCAAGACUACCUAAACUCACUUUAUCACUUCCUACACCAAUUUCAGCAAGCUAAAGGCCUAGACAAGUUCUAAAUGACUCAAACCAAAACUUAAACUCCCCAAUUCAUUCUUAACCCCUUACAUCAAAAUUUCACUAACCAAACCUCUAAUUUGCACUCAAAACCACUCAAACACUAACCAUUGACCACCCUUUUUGGUUCUAGAUCAGUUUCCACCCAAAGCAUACUUCUAACAAAUUUCAAUUGAUCCCAUAAUAGGCUUGGAAAAAUUAUUUCUUCACAUUGGUACAUAUCUCACAAAUUCACCUAUUAAAACCCUCUAUUUUUUAGCUUUAAAACCCAAUUAUUUGAUCAUUCACCACUUUAAACAACCCGACAGUCAAAUAAAACCAUCCAAACAACUUUAUAACAUGUAACUCAUAGCAACAACGACAUCACAAAUAAUCAAAUUAACUAAACAUACUUAAUUACCUAAAUUAGCAUAACAAAAUUCUUAAAAUUCUAAAGUUAAUCAAUUUAACGAACAUACAAGCAUCAAACUCAUAUACCCAACAUCAAUUAACAAUAGACAUUUAGCUUCCCUUACCUCACAUGAAGCAAUCAAACUCUAGGAACAUCUUCCCGAUUGCUUGAAACACAAGGAAUUUCUAGAAAGACCUACGAAACAUCAAAUUGAUAACAAAAUAAGUCCUUAGGACCUUAGAGGAACAAGAAAUUAGGAAAAGAUAAAUGAAGACACAUGCAACAUAGAUCACUACGCAUGGUCUCAAACUAAGAACGAAAGAGAAAAAUGAGUUAAAACUUACUUGUUCUAUUCUAGACAUUGAUCGGAUAAAUGUGGAGAUUACUCCGUCGUGAUCUCUUAAGAGCUUCCAGUCGUCAAAAAGAUUAUUGAAGAGUUAUAAUUUUUAGAGAAAAGACAAAAAACUCUAGAAAAGUAGUUUCUAGAGAGAUAAUACGUUUUAAAAUAAUAAAACUCAUUUAUAACAAAACUAUUUAUAGAUAAACUAUUUAAUAUUAAAAUAAUUGAGUCUCACUUUUCUUAAACUACCACCACUUCUAAUAUACCAUUUUUUAGAGUUUUACAUUAACAAUUAUUGAAAAAUUGAAUUUUGACAUUUACGUUAAUGGUGAAAUUUGAUUUAUGAGAAACCAAAUUUUAAACUGUUAUUUUAUUUUUAUUUUGAAUAUUAUUAAAAUAAAAAAAGAAGAAAAAGUAAAAAAGUUAUAUAUUUUUGUAAUGUAAAUAUAUAUAAAUAUAUAUAUAAAUAUAUAUAUAUAUAUAUAUAUAUAUAUAUAUAUAUAUAUAUAUAUAUAUAUAUAUAUGUGUGUGUGUGUUUGAAUUUUGUUAAAUUAUACUUUUUUGAAAUAUUCUUUUUUCUUUCAUUUAUUAAAAUAUAAAAUAAAGUUUUUUAUUUUCAUUUUUUAAAAUAUAGAAGAUGGGAAUAAAAAUGAAAUUAGAUAAAAAUGGAGUAUUCGUCCAAGAAUCAAUUUUAGUGAUCCUCAAUCUUCAAAUAGAUAAGCUGACUAUUAGAAACUUUAGAAAGAAAUGAGAAAGCUUUACAAUAAAGAAGUUUAGAGAGAAUAUGUGAUUUAAAACAUGAUUUAAGAUAAUAAAAUUCAUUUAUAAAAAAAUUAUUUAUAUUUAAAUUUUUUUUAUUAAAAUAAUCAAAUCUCAUUAUUUAAAUCAAUUCUAAAUCAUGAUUUUUUUUUUUUAAGUUUUACAUUAUGAAUUUAACUAAGUUCAAUCUUGUUUAAGACAUAAUUGAUAUAUUACGAAAACAUUAAAUAUAUAUUAAAAUAGAGUAUAUAUUUUAUUUAUUUCAAACUGUUGAAAGCGAAAAUUGAAUCGAAGAGUAAAAUAUAUCAUACAUUAAUAUCUUUUCAAUGUCAGAAGAAUUUUGAUCAUUGAGAAAUUCAUCUAAUAUGAAAGCUAUGUACAAAAGCAUCAUUAUAUACAGUUGAAAUUCAGGAAAAAUUGAAAUCUCAAUUACCUUAACAUCUCGAUUUAUAGCAUUAUAUAUUCGAAACGCUUGAAAAUUUAUUAAAAAGAAUAAAAAGAAAAGUUCACAGUUUGUGAGAAUCAAAUCAAAUCUAAAUGUCAAAUAGAAUCUAUGAAUAAACUAAACUUAUCUCUAAAAAGUUGUAUUCUGAAAAAUCGUGGAAUAUAAUAUCGCCAUAUAGAAUCUCAAAUAAGUAGUAAAAAAAUUAGUGAGUUCAUUAGUAUAAUAAUUUAGUAUCCAGAAUUUAUAAUAUUAAAGUUUUCACGGAUGUCAAAAGCAAAUAUUUCCACUAUUAAUUAUGUCGAAAUUUUCAAAGCACUCUCAUUCUAAUCAAAAGUGUAUUUAUCCUUUUAUUUAUAUAUCACCUUUAAUGCAUGUAUAAUAGUUGAAGGAUUUGAAAGUAAUUUAUUUUGGUAUCCAUGAUUCAUGAAAAAUAAUAAAACUACUAUCCUUAAAAAUUAUGAUUAUCUAAUUUGAAAACUCGAAGUAAUUUAUUUGUUUAAUUCAAAUUGACUUGUGUGUAAAAAUGUUUUAGGAUGAAUUUUGAUAGGGUUGACAAACUUAAACUAUACUUGAUAGUUCAAAUUGAGUGAAUAAAUUCAUAAAAUCUUCUAGUGAUUUUUGUAGUGUGCAUUCUUUGGUUAACUUUGUUGCACUUCUUCUAUAACUCUUUUGAACAUCUUCUUAAGCCAUAUCUUCCUGGAUAUGCAUCUUCAAAGUUUCUUAGCAAUCCUUUUAAUGUAACGUGUGAAUUUUUAUUGUACAAAAAACUAAUAAUUAUUCUUCAUGAGUUGUUUUUGAUAGUGUUAAUUUUGAGCAUUGUUAUUAAUCAUUUUGACAUUAGCAAAAUCAAUUGUUCUUUAGUUGAUUAUUUGAAAGAAAAGCGCUCUUUAAUUCUUUUUUAAGAGGACAUGUUUUGAAUAUCUUUAGAAUUAUUAGGAUUUUCUAGAAGAUUUUUACUCUUUUUUUUAUUAUCUAUUUUUUUUUUUUAUGUUAUAGGUCUUUUGGAAUCUUUGUGAAAAUGAAUAACUAAAUCUAUUUUAUUGGAAUUGGAUGUAUUUAAUUAUAUAGUAUAGACUAAUCAGUCAACACAAAUCCUAAAGCGAGUGAUUGAUCAACCUUCCUAAACCUUUGAAAUAACAAAGACUGAUCAAUCACCGAACACAUUAAUAACUGAUAAGUUAUUAAAGACAAUAUGAUUAACUAAACAAAACAUGCUUAUGAGAUAUUGAGUCGCACUUGGACUAACCUUAAUCAAAACCCUAUUUUGAAAUCUAUAAAUAUAGAGGUAAGAUAAGAAGGUAUUUAUUGAGCAUUUGACUUAAUUGUUAUAACCAAUCGGUAAUUGAACCCUAACUUCAGUGUCUUUAACAGGUACACAGAUUACUUGAAUGUCUUUAGUAGGUACACGAAUUUGGAUUCUAGUUAAGAGUAGGGGUGAGCAAAGAGUAUUGCAUGUAAAUAAUUAAAGUUAACUAUAAAAGAGUUCAAAUAAACUAAACUGAACUAAAAAAUAGUUCAAAAAAACUAAAUUGAACUACUUUUUGGUUCAGUUACCUAUCAUAGCUAAAUUAACUAUUGUAAAGACGCUAAUAUCUUACUGUCAAUUAGCAAAGACACUAGUCUUUUAUAGCUAAUAAGACUCAAUGCUUUCAGAUAAUAACAUUUGUACCUUUGGGUUCUGAGAUGGAUGGAUAGAUAGGAUGUGUACCAGUCAAUCCAAGAGGUUUGAGAUCCCACAAGACAAUAUGGUUCUCUGUUCCAUCGAUGACGAGACCGUACCCUUUCCUCAUCAAGAACUUGUCGAGCGUAGUGGCGUUGGCCUUCACUUGCUUGGCGUAGGCCUUGAUCCCAGGCGUUGCGGCCUGUUUCAGUGCCACGGCGAGGCCCCCAAUCUGGUGGUUGUGAGGACCACCCAAGAGAGAAGGGAAAACGACAAAGUUGAUUUUGUCCUCGAAUUCAUAAACGACGUCCUCUGGCUGCCCCUUCUUGGGUGGCUUUGGACCCUUUCGAUAGAAGAUCAUGCCCGCCCUGGGACCGCACAAGCUCUUAUGCCGGAGUGUAUUACCCGUGGGUGAGGUGACUACCAGAGGGCAGACCCAACCCUAUGAUGCGGUCGUGGGAGUUCAACACCGUCGUGUAUGCAGCGAAGUUGGUCGGGGAGCCCAAGUAGGGUGCACAUUGACCUCCCAUGAUUGGACAUCGAGGUAGAAGGCGGUGAGGGUGCAUGAGCAACACAGGUUUACGACCUCCUCAAUGAACUCGUUGACGCUGUAGUAGCGAUUUCGACAAAGUCUUUGAUAGAGUCUUCGACAACAACGAAUCGGCAGUAGCCUUCAACGACGACGACAACAGUGGCAACUUUCAACAGUGACAGCCUUCAACAGCAACAAACUUCAACAAUAGUGAGUGAGCCUUUGACGAAUGGAUGUAAAGAGGCAGAAAGCAAACGAGGUUUGUAACUGAAAAAGCAAAUAGAAAACCUAAACUUUAGUUAACUGUACUAAAUAUAAAAUAAGUUCAAUUUUUUUAAAUUGAACUAUUAAUCAAUUCAAUUAGUUUUUUGUAAAAUUAGUUUAAGUUUUUAAAGUAUAAAAAAGUACAGAUAAACUAUAGUUUAAGUUUUUUAAGUUAACUUUGUCAAGUUCUAAAUAAAAAAGAUGAUUUAUUCAAAUUAUAAAAAUGUAAUUCUCUAUCCUAAAUUAGUAACUAAACACUCGUUGUAUUUCCUAACAAAUAAUUCUCCUUAAACACUUUAUACUUUUACAAAAUUUAUUUUCACUUAGUAGAAGAAUUUAUUUAUCCAACAAUCAUUUAAUGAACCCUAAAAAUUUGUCUAUGAAUCUAAACCUCUAAACCUCACUCAGCAAGAUUAAGCACUUUGAGUUCUCUAAUUAUUUUUAUUUGUCCAAUGACCAAAUUUUUAAGAAACAAUUUCACUAGACUCACCUAUGAGUGGCGUGCUUGAAAAUUAUGCAGAAAAUCAUAAAUUUUAAAAUAUAUCAAUGGCUCAAUUUUAUUUAAAUUAAAAGUUUAAAUAAUUAAAAAGUCUAAUAAAAAGCUCCAAAUAAUUUAGUAACAUGUAAUACAAUACAAGUCACUUAUGGGGAUUUUCACAUUUUUCAAAACAUUCCAAACUAAAAAAGAAGAAGCAAAGAUAGAAAGAAAACUAACCCGAAACUGAUAGCAUCAACCUCCUCCUCAUCCUCCAUUUCUCACUCACUCACACUGUGAUUCUCGUCUUCACCAUUUUCUUCUUCUUCUUCUUCUUCUUCCCGAUGCCACCACUCCACAUUCUCCCCGGCGCCACCCUAUUCCCCAACCCCCUUCUCCGCCACCCAUCCAAAACCCUAACCCCCAAACCCCGUCCCCCCUCUGCCCUCCUCCAGUGGAACCGGAAGCCCGAGCUCUCGGGUACCACCCCGCGCGUCACCGUCAUCACCUCCGGCAAGGGCGGUGUGGGAAAGACCACCACCACGGCUAACAUUGGCCUCUCUCUAGCCCGCUUCGGCUUCUCCGUGGUGGCCAUUGACGCCGACGUCGGCCUCCGCAACCUCGACCUCCUCCUCGGCCUCGAGAAUCGCGUCAACUACACUGUCAUCGAGGUUCUCAAUGGCGACUGUCGCUUAGACCAAGCCCUUGUACGCGACAAGCGCUGGUCCAAUUUCGAACUCCUCUGUAUCUCCAAGCCCCGCUCCAAGCUACCCCUCGGCUUCGGCGGCAAGGCCCUCACGUGGCUCGUUGACGCGCUCAAGGCGCGUCCAGGCGGCUCCCCCGACUUCAUCCUCAUAGACUGCCCCGCCGGCAUAGACGCCGGCUUCAUCACCGCCAUCACGCCCGCCAACGAGGCUGUCCUCAUCACCACGCCCGACAUCACGAGCCUCCGCGACGCCGACCGCGUCACCGGCCUCCUCGAGUGCGAUGGCAUCAGGGACAUCAAGAUGGUUGUGAACCGGGUUCGCACCGAUAUGAUUAAGGGCGAGGACAUGAUGUCGGUGUUGGAUGUGCAAGAGAUGCUGGGAUUGCCUCUUCUUGGGGUUAUACCCGAGGACACUGAGGUUAUCAGGAGCACCAAUAGAGGAUACCCUCUUGUGCUCAACAAGCCUCCAACUUUGGCUGGCUUGGCCUUUGAACAAGCAGCGUGGAGGCUCGUGGAGCAGGAUAGCAUGCAGGCCGUGGUGGUGGAGGAGCAACCUAAACGUGGGUUCUUCUCCUUUUUUGGUGGGUAGGAUUCUUUUUUUAUUUUGUGGUGUUUAGGGUGUAUAGUUAGGUAGUCGAGAUUAUUUGUUUUUGCUUAAAUGAUCGGUUGAGUAAUGAGUAAAUCUGUUUUGUUGGUGUCUAUAGAGAACGGAAUUUGAGGAUUUUUUUUCUUUCUCUAUAUUUCCUUAUGCUGUUGAUGGAUUAAUGAGAGUUCUUCUGACCAAAUUGAGUGUUGGGAUGUUGGAGCUCUAAUGCAAUGGACAUUUUUUUGCUUUGUUGAUGAGUGAAGUUAUAAUAUGAUAUGGUGAUAUCCAAUGAAUGGAAAAGAAAUUUGUUAAGUUGUUUAUGGAGGUUAUUAUGCCGUGUCUCUGAUGGAUUUCCAUUUGAUUGGUGUUACUGUAUUCGCCGAAUGAUCGAUCUUCCACUUUUUGGGUUGGUUUGAUUGCAACAGAAUAUAUAUAAAUUUCGUUUUCUGGCAUUCUCUAAUUCCCAGGUGGUUUUGAUUUUAUUUUCUGAUUAGAAAUGAAAUUUCUUCUCAAUAAUUUAGGUUUAAUUAACGUAGGAUGACUGCUGAGGUGAAAUGCUGGGUUAGGGAGAACCAAACCUAGAUUCAAUUCGUAGGGUGUUGUUAGCCCUUUUCUCUAACUAGAAUUUGAGUUUCAAUUGGUAGUCUAAUUGUUUUUGAACGAAACCUUUAUUAGGAUGAUUGUUGAGGUGAAACUUCAAUUCUCGCUGAAAACAUAACACUCAAAACAUCUAAAGAAAUCAAUUCACCUUUUGUUCUAAUUGUAAAUGGCAGGAUAAACUUGCAAUAGUGUCUGUGGUUAUGGAAGUGUUUCUGCUGCAGUGCUUGUCCUUGAUGGAGGAGGCAAUUGUAUAAAGUGUCAUUUUUAAUUUUAAGUUUAUUUUGUUAAUUCAAUUUUCCAUUGCUAGUGCGUUUCUUUGAUUGGAUUAAUGGCUCUACUGUUGGCUUUAAACAUGGGGUUUUCUCCAGUAGGUAGGAAAUUUCUUUUUGUGGUGUUUAAGGUUAUCCGUAGUGUGUACAGCUAGUCGGUUGGGUUAAUUAGUAAAGGCUGUGUGUUCAUUGUUUAAUUGAUAGGCUGAGUAGUGAGUAAAUCUGCUCCGUUAGCGUCUAUAAUUUGAGUAUUUUUAAUGCCGUUGAUGGUUUAAUAUUGUAGAACGUGCUGUCGCUUUUGGAGAAUGUUCGGACUUUUUUUUCCUUGUUGAUGAGUAAAGUAACGCUAUAGUAAUAUAUAAAUGAAAACGAACUUUCUUAAGUUUAGAGGAUAAGCUGUUACACCACAUUCCAUGAAUGAAAAUGAACUUUCUUGAGUUGUUUAUAAUAGAGGAUAUGUUGUCUGUUCUCUAUGUUUUCUGUUUAGUUGGUGUUUCUGUGUUUGUUCACUGAAUGAUUUUUUUUUUUGGGUUGAGUAACAGGAACAAAAGUUAGAUGCCCUUUAUUAAGUGUUUUUGUCCUAUUCUCUUAUCAGAAUGAGUUUCACCUUGUUAAUGUAUGAUAAUCUUCAAUGCAAACCCUUAUUAGGAUGGUUAUUGUGACAACGUGACUUCUAACUAAAAAAUAACACCUAAAAUGUUUGAAGAACCGAGUUUAAGUUUUAAAUGACAGGAUAAACAUCUGGUGCAAUGAAAGUUUUUAUUUUUAUUUUUUUUUUUUGCUUGUUUUAUUAGUAAACUUAUGCUAUAGUAAAAUACGAUCCUUGUUUUGUUGUUGAUCGAGGAUAUGUUGGGUCCCUGAUAUUUUCCCUUUGGUUGUUUUCUGAACGAGGAUCUUCUUUUUGGGUUGGGUUGGUUGGAACAAAAAUUGGAUGUAAUCUCUUAGAUAUUCUUGGUGUCAUUUUUUUUUCAUCAGAAUUGAUGUUAUAUUUUGGUAAACUAUGUUGAACUUUGAUGUAAACUUGUUUUAGGAUGGUUAGUAUGUCAAAACUCAGUUUUUGAUUGGAAAAUAAGGAUGAUUCCUGGUCAAAACUCAGUUUUUGAUUGGAAAAGAAUGCUAAGUGUCUAAGAAUUGAAUUUAAGUUUUGUCCUUAUGAUAUAUUAUAAAUGGUAGGCUAAACUUCCUGUAGUUUGAGGUUGUCGAAGUAUUUCAGUUGCAAGUGCUUGUUAGAUGGAGUAAACUUUAUGCAAUGUGAUUUUUUAGUGUAUUUUGUUUAUUCCAUUACGAGAUUGGGUUAAUGUGUAUCAUUUGGUUGAUAUCAGCCUAUGUGGACUGUAGCUCUCUUGGUUCAUUUUUUUGUUGCGAGGACAGCAUCUGGUGUUUUCUCUAAUAAAUUUCUCCCUAAACUUAUACAUUGAUAUUUUUCAUUUCCUUCAUUUUGUAUAAUAAAGUGAAUUAUUGAUAUAACUCACGUAUUCAAAGUUUUCCUCGAUACUCCGGGAAGACCUUUUCAUUUCUCUUUUACGUAAUGUAAAGUGUUUAAGAAAUGAGAUCAUAAAGUUUGGUCAUUGUGAAAUUGAAAUUUCAUUGGAUCUAUGGAAAGUUUGAUUACGUGUUAGCUCGUAAUUUUUUUUCUUUUUUUCUUAAUUUUAAAUAUUUUCAGUUUAAAAAAAUUAUAAAUAUAUCAAGUUAGUAAGAGAGUGAUGUCUCAAUAUUAGUGUUAAAUGUCAUGGAUCAAAUGUUAUUGGCUAAUAUUCAAUUCAAUUUAUAUAUUUAUUAUUUUGAUUUAUUUAAAAACAAAAUUUUUUAAUUGAAUAACUUUUCUUCUUUUCAAAUUAAAACCAAAUUUAUUUUUUAUAUAAACGUUACAGUGAUAUUUUUCUUAAAUAUUAGUUUAAUUAUUUUUAAUUAUUUUAACAUUUUUCAUUUUUCAUAAUUUUUUAUAUUUUCAUGUAAGUUUUAUUUAAAAUUUUCAAUAUUUAAGAGACAGAUUAUAAGCAAAAAUAUAUAAUAUAUUUUUAAUUGUUAAUUAAAAAAAUAACUCAAUUUUUUUUUUAAAAGGUAUAUAUAGUUUACGGAAGAAUUAUUUGAAAUUACGACUAAAGUUGUUAAAACAGAUAUGAUGCAUUAUAGAUGGAUUAUUUAGUGAAUCAAUUCGAAUUCUUAUUAAUAAGUCUAAAAGUUUAAAUCUAAUUCAACUCAUCAUCAGUUAAUAAAUUGAAUCGAUUAAAGUUUAUUUUUGAACUAUAUUAAAGUUUGUAAAUUAUUUUUUAACCUAAUUGACUCACAAAUUUUAACCUUAUUCAAAUAACAUAAAAGCUGAAAGACAGACUUGGCAUUAUAGGCUUUUGGUCAUUAUCUAACAUAAUAUAAACGAGUUUUUGUCAUAGAAUUUUUCUAACCUUUUCUUAAAAUUGUAGAGGUAAACCUGAGAAACACUGGAGUGAGAAUAGCAAGGCCUUUACUUUUGCCACAAGGCCAGUAUUGGGUCUAGAAAACCCAUUUAGACCCAAGUCACAUAAAAGGAAAAGAGUGUUUUAUCCUGCACCUCCAAAAAUAUCAUCUCCAUCUCCAAAUUAUAAUAAAAUUCCAAUUUUAAUCCUAAUUAAAAAGUAUUUUAAUUUUUAAAAAGUUUUUUAAUUUUUAAAAAGUGUUUUUUUUUAAACGUGGUCAAAGAUUUCCAGGGAUCAGAUUGAAUUUCAUAAACUUGGUUUUAUGUGUAUUUGUGCAUCUGAUUUCACUUCUCACAACACUAUUACCUCUCUCCUUUCUCACAACAUCCUUCUUCUCCUUUCUCAAUCUUGUCUUACUCCCCUUUCUCACAUAGCACAAUACAGUCACAGAGCACACAGUAAAAUCUUUUUUUUUUUUCGCACUACAGCAACCACCAUGGUUGGUUGCCGCAAGCUUUUUUUUUUUUCUUUCCGAGGUACAGAAACACUAGACUCUUCUUGUCGGAUUUGAUUUUUCCUUUCUUUGUUGUCUUGCGUGCACACUGAUAGAAUAUCUCAUUUUAGCAUUUUAGUUUCUCCUUUGCUGUGUUUCCCAGUCGUGUAGAGGUAUUCGUCUUCUUCUUCCUCCAAUUUUUGUCCAUCUUUCACUGCUCAAAAGUUGUCAGAGGUUGGUUCAUGGUUUUAAUUUUUUUUGCUGCUUUUGCAUGUCUAUAGACUGGAUAUAUAGAUUAAAUGAUUAGAAAUUAUUUAAAUUUGUCUAAUUUGAUUGAUCUAUCCAUGUUUUUGUGAUCUGAAAUGCGAUAGACAUGUAUGGGACAUGGGUAACCGAUACCGCCAGCAUCGGAUGUCAAUAUAAGAUGUAGGCUGUAUCGGUUUCUCAUAUCUAAUACAUGCCUAAUGUGUUUUUUUUAUUUUUUUUUCCCGGUUUUACUGUAUGUUUUUUUUUUCGUUUUAUAGUUUAUUCUUUUUAUUUGAAAUGAAUUGUUUUAUUUAAAAUAUUUUAUUAUUUAGUUGUUUUUUAAAUAGUUUAUUAUUUAAUUGUUCUAUUUUAAAUAGUUUAUUAUUUAAUUGUUUUACUUUAAAUAGUUUAUUAUAUAAUUGUUUUAUUUUAAAUAAUUUAUUAUGUAUAUUAAUAUUUGAAUUAAUUAUUUUCUGUUAUAAUUAUUUUAAAUAUUCUGUUUUAAUCAUUUUAAAUUUUCUGUUAUAAUUAGCAUUGGAUGUCAAUAUCUAAUCUAAGCUUUAUCAGUUUCCCAUUCUCUAAUGUGUUUUUUUUUUUUUAAUUUGUUUUAUGGCUUUAUUGUAUGUUUUUUUUCUUAUAGUUUGUUUUUUUUAACAUUUGAAAUGAAAUGUUUUAUUUAAAAUAUUUUAUUAUUUAAUUGUCUUUUAAAUAGUUUAUUAUUUAAUUGUUUUAUUUUAAAUAAUUUAUUAUGUAUAUUAAUAUAUGAAUUAAUUAUUCUCUGUUAUAAUUAUUUUAAAUAUUCUGUUUUAAUUAUUUUAAAUUGUCAUUUAUAAUUAUUUUAAAUAUUCUGUUAUAAUAAUUUUAAAUUUUGUGUUUUAAUUUAUUUAAAUGUUUUGUUAUAAUAAUUUUAAACUUUCUUUUUAAAUUUUUAAUAGGAUGACGUUAUUCGAUUUUUAUUUUAAUAAAAUUGUUAAAAUUGAGUUAAUUAUUUAUUUAUAUAAAAAUUUGAAUUAAUUUUAUUUAUUCUUAUUUUAGUUAUUUUAAAAUUUUUGUUUUAAUUAUUUUAUAUUUUUUGUUUUAAUUAUUUAAAAUAUUCUGUUAUAAUUAUUUUAAAUAUUAUGUUAAUAAAAAAAUUAAAAUAGACAUGACUCAUAUUCGAGGAGGUUUAUCUUCAUGGGGAGAGUUCCUCACAGGGUGAGAGAUGGAGACCUAUAACUUCUGCUCGUAUAAGACGUGGAGCAAUUGAGUUUGAUGUUCAUGUUGAGGAAGUAGUUGAGGAUCAUGCAUUUGUGGAGCAUGAUAUUGAGCAGGAGGAGGAUAAUCUCAAGGUGGAUUUCUUGGAGGUCCAUUAGACACUUCAGUAUUGACACAUUACAUUCACCAUGUUGCUUAUGUGAUAUGGUAGGGUCGAGUAAGUGCAAAACUUUAAUUUUAAUGAUUAUUGUUUAGUUAAAAUAAUUUGAUAUUAAAUAUUAUUGUUUAGGAACGGGAGGAGAUCAAGUUGAUCUCCCAUGGGAAGAAGUUAAACAUAUUAGGAUCUUGCAACGAAGGCAUUAGAGACAUCGUUAAUGGUUCUGGUCUGAUGUCUCUGGUGGGCAUCUCCUAUGACUAUGUCGAUAGGGGUCUACUACUGGCAUUUGUAGAGAGAUUUCAUUUUGAGACCAGUAGUUUCCAUCUCCCCGUGGGUGAGAUGACCGUAAAUUUAGAUGAUGUGUCAUCGUUGCUACACCCUUCGUCUUAACUUUAUGCAAUGGAGGUAUCAUAAAUGUCAUUUCAGGACAAACAAUGUCAAGUAACUUUUCUUUAAUCAUCACUUUACUUCCAAUCUUAACCUCCUUAAACUUUUCUCCAACCAUAGCAAGCUCACAUUGUAUGGAUAACUUUGGCUGCGAUUCAUUUGAUACAAAAUCUGAAAUAGACAAUCUUGUUCACAUCACAUGAAAUUCACCCAAAGGAAUGACACCAGGGGCAUAAUGUGCUAAUUCACAAGCAUAGGGGACACCAUAGGUCCGUCUAAGUAUGCAUCCACAUCUUACCUUAUCGAGUCCUAUAACAUUUACUCGUUCUAAUUCUUCAGCUAUUAGUCCUAAAGCAUAUCUGGAUACUCAUCCAACAAGUCUUUUGUAUCUUAUGCAUUUAUAAGCUUCACAUGAGAUUGAGACUGUUUUCGAACGACGCUUUGAUCUUAUUAUGUUGCAACAUAAUGACAUUAUGAAUGGCAUCCCAGCAAGAACAAAGAUCUCCCAUACUGUUUUCCAAUACUUUCUUUAAGUUCCAAUGAGCUGACUCAACCCUGACAAAAAUCAAUCACCAAUAUAUCAAAUAUUCAAAUACAAAAUAAACUAAUAUAACAUUAAAACAUACCUGUUUGUUGUUGUAUUCCCUAAAUGCAUAACGUUGUUUGUCCGUGCCUUCACAAAGUAAGUAUUGUAUGGAAUAAUCCAAAUAUUAUUCACAUAUUCGAAGAAUAAAGGCCAUGAAUGAUAAGUGUAUUCAAGGCAAUUCACACAAUCACCAAACAUAGAUUCAUCUUCACAAUCCAUGACGUUCUCUCAUGCUUCCACACAAUCAACUAACAUUUUGCACUUUGCUUUGACAUUUUUUUUUAUAAUAUGGAAGCGACAUAACAAUUGAUAUGAUUGAGGAAAUACAUUGCCGAUGGAAUUCAUCAAAGACAAGUCUCUAUCACUGACAAUGACUUGUGGAUAGGCCUCAAAUGUCAAAAAUAAGUUUCUAAACUUUUUAAGAGCCCAAGUGGAAUUAUUUUGUCACUCACUUGAUAAGAAUGCAAAAUCGGCUGAGUAGGUCAACCCAGUAGAUAUCAUACCAACAAUCUCUAACAACGACAAUCGAUAUUUAUUUGUCUUAUAAGUUGAAUCCAUUAACAAAACAACAUUAAAUGCUUUCAAUAACUUGAUUGCAUUAGGAUGUGUCCAAAAGAGGUCACUGAUAACCUCAUAAUCCUUCACACAUCUACUCCAAUGUAUGUACUUGUCGCGAUCCAACAUCAUCAUCAACUGUUGCAGCUCAGUUCUCGACCCUCUCAAUGAGCGUUUGUGUGUAUACCUUGCUGUGUAAACUUGUUUUAUUGUAGUUACAUUAUGAUUGUUAUUUUGUUUCAGAGUCAACACAAUAUUUGUCGGUGUUACUUGGGUUUUAGUCAUAUCAACAAGUACUGCUUGUUCAAUAGAAUUUAACCUACCAACAUAAGGAUGCCCCACUAAAGUUUCUGCUAAAUCCUGGUUGUGGUAUCCACAUAUCACUUGCAAUACCCAUCCAUCGCCAUUACCAGGUGGCUUACCCCUUAACUGGAAAGGACACUCACAUUUUUGGGUCCCAUAUGUAUUAGGUUGGACAUCAAGUUUGUAUUUUCUAUAUUUUCCGCCUCUUUCACAUCCUAGCAACACAAACGUCUUCCUCCCAGCGGAUCUUAUAGUCACCACAACAAAUCCUAGAUUAUAUGCAAUCCUUCUUACCCAUUCAAUUAAGUUUUCACGAGAGGAAAAAAUUUCAUUUGUUGUGAAAUGAUUCGUCAGGUUUCCCUCAACGCCCCCAUUUAUAAAGGACAAAAAUUCUGAUAGUAUGCUAGUAUUUAUUUCAGAAUCAAUCCACAACAAUAUUCGUCCAUUUAGACUAUAAUCACCUAUAAUAAAAUAAAAAAUAAUACAAAAAAAUUAAAAUUUAUAAUUAUUUUAUAAAAUUAUAAACUAAUACAAUACAUUAUACAAUUAUAAAUUUAUUAACAAUGUAAUCAACUUAAAAAAAAACUCCAAACUAAAUAAACUUAAAACUAUAUAAUAAAUUUUUAAAAAUUUUCAUAAACAUAAAAAAUCACGUAUAAAUUAUAUCUAAAAGAUUAUAAAAAUUAAAUAUUUAAAAUGCAUUUUUUAUAUUAACAAAAAUUAAUAAUUAAAAAAUGUAGUUAACUAGUUUUAUUAAAUUUUUGUAUAGAGCAAACCUACUUAAAUAAUAUUAAUAAAACAACAUGCAAAAAUAUGAAACAUUCGUAACAAUUAUUUUUUACGAAUUACAUAUUAUCUAAUUAUAUUAUAAAUUCACAAAAAUUAUACAUAAACUUAAAUAUAAUUAUAAAAUAAUAAAAUAGUAAGGAAUAUAACUAAAAUUUGUUAUUAAUAAAUACCUGAUGCAUUGUUACGUCUUCAAGAAACAAAUCCUAAUAUUCAGUGGUGCUUUUAAUAUCCGAAAUUUUCACCAUCAAAUCUCCACAUCCGAUUCGUAUUAAGUAUCAUUUUUAGAAACCAGUUUUAUUAAUUUUAAUAAAUCGUAGAAAUUAAUUUAUAUUCAUUUUAAAUUAUAUAAUUAAAUUAUAAACUGAUACAAAAUUAUAUAUAAUUUUAAAAUUAAUUAAAAACUAAUAAAAUAAUUAAAUAAAAAUAUUAUUAAGCUUUUAUAUAAAUUUUUUAUUUGUUGGAUUUUCACAUUCGAAUAGAUGAUCAUUGAAAUCCACAUAUGAUAUUUUCAUUUUAAGUUUUUUAUUCAAAAUUAGUUUUAUUCAUUUUAAUAUAUUUAUAAAAUUAUUUUUUAUUAAUUACAAAUUAUAAAAUAUAUUAUAAACUAAUACAUAUAAUUAAAAAAAAAAAUUAAACUAAUAUAAGAAGUAUUAAAAAAAAUUUAAACUAAUAUAAAAAGUAUCUAAUGUAAACAUGCAGAAUAAAUAUAAUAAAAUCAUGUAUCUGAUAUCCACAUCCGAAGAUUCAUAAAUUGGAUAUCCAUAUCUGGAUUUGUAAAUCGAAUAUUCACAUCCGAAGGUUUGUAAAUCGAAUAUCCACAUCCGAUCCGCACAUAAGGCUCUCCCAGUUUCGAUUUUUCAUUUUCAUGCAAACAUAAUAACGAAAAUAAAAUACAUCUACUCCAUCAAUAUCAAUCCAACCAAGAAGAUGCAAACAAAUUUAAAUAAAAAAUAACUAACAAUCCAUCAAUAUCAAUGCAACCAAAAAGAUGCAAACAAAUUUAAAAAUGAAUAAUUGAUUUAAGAGUGAUAACCACAACUUAAUAAGUCUAUUGGAUGUAUGAGAGGUUUGGUAGUUAUGUGUCAUUGGCAUGUUUGUAAUUUUGUCUAGAAAAAUUACAUUGAAAGGUUUUACAUUAUAGGUUUUGCUAGAAAAUUUUCACGAGAUGAUUUAAAGUUUUUUUUCUCAAAAAUAUUGUAUGAGAUGAUUUACAAUUUUUCUUAGAAAAUUUGUAUGAGAAAGUUUGCAUUGGAUAAUAAUACUUUUGUUAAGUAUUCGUGGAUGUACGACUUGAAGCAUCGAACCAAGUUAAGUUUCUUUUAAAAAUGAAUAGUUAAUUUAAGAGUGAUCACCACAACUUAAUAAGUCGAUUGGAUGUAUGAGAGGUUUGGUAGUUAUGUGUCAUUAGCAGGUUUGCAAUUUUGUCUAGAAAUAUUACAUUGAAAGGUUUUAUAAUUUUCGUUAGAAAAAAUUGUACGAGGUAGAUUGUAGGUUUUGCUAGAAAAAUUUCACGAGAUGAUUUAAAGUUUUUUUUUUUCUCAGAAUUGUAUGGGAUGAUUUACAGAUUUUCUUAGAAAAUUUGUAUGAGAAGGUUUGCAUUGGAUAAUAAUACUUUUGUUAAGUAUUCGUGGAUGUAGAACUUGAAGUUAAUUUUUUUUUAUGCUUUUAUUUAAAUUUGUGCUCUUAUUUGUGGGAGUGCUUUUGCUUGAAUAUAUUAUUUUCCUUUUGUGUGAUUUCCAACCGUAUUAGAGUUUAGGUUCUAAUCGAGGAAGAACAAAGGGUAAUUUGGCAUGCUAACAAGGUUGUGUGCUCUACCUAUGAAGAAAGGUUAGUCUUGAUGAUUCUUUUUUAAGCAAUGACUUCAUUGAUGGAUGUAUGAUUGGAUUUGACUUGACCAAGAAAGUGUUGGAGAUGGAUUCCCAUUGUGUAUAAGUGAGUUUCCAACAAUAGUGUUAUUGAAGUUGCUGACAAUGAAUAUAUACAAGGUAGUGAGGGUUGAUGACAAGAAAAAAUUGUUAAUGUCAAUGAGUCCAUGUAGAUCAUUAGUGACAAAAGCGGUUCAAGUAGAUAUAUUGGUAGGCAUGUCAAAUAUUUGUUUCAAAGCAUGUUAAACUUCUUAUGAAUGGAGGAUAUGUUGUUCUUUAGUGGAUUUUCACCAAAGUUCCACAACAAGUAAUAUGAAGAAGGGAGAAGUAGAAAGCUAUUAUAAAAAUGAAGAGUUGAUUUGAGAGUGAUCACCACGACUCAAUAAGUCUCUUGGGUGGGUAGUUGUGUGUCAACUGGCGGUUUUCAAUUUUGUUCAGAAAUUGCACUAAAAGGUUUACACUUUCAACUAUAAAAAUUAUAUUAGAUAGUUUGUAGUUUUCACAAGAAAAACUGUACAAGAUGGUUUGCAGUUUUUAUUAGAAAAAUUGCGCAAGAUGAUUUACAAUUUUUGUCACAUAAAUAAUAAGAGAUAUUUGUAGUGUUUUUAAGAAAAAUUGCACGAGAAAAUUUGCUAUUUUUUUUAAAAAAAUUGUAUAAAGGUUUGUAGUUUUUGUUGAGCAUUCAUGGUUGCAUGAUGUGCUUUUAUUUAAAUUUUCUUGUAUAAAGGUUUGUACUUUGUGCUUGAAAAUUAUUUUCCUAUUUCAAGGAUGAUUCCUAGUCAAAACUCAAAUUUUGAUUGAAAAAUAAUAAUAAAUGUAUAAAAAAAUGAAUUUAAAUUUUGUCCUUAUGAUAUAUUAUAAAAAGUUGGGUAAACUUGCAAAAGUUUGAGGUUGUCAACAUAAAGAACGAAAAUAAAUGCAAUGUAAUUUUUAGUGAAUUUUUGGCCGAGUAUGGGUUAAAUAUAAAUUUGGGGGAUUAAUAUAACAUCCCAUUUUAGUAGAAUAAAACUAGCAAAAUAGAAUAUUACAUAGAUGAUGACUUACCAUAAACUACUGACUCUCGAUGAAGAAGAUCUUACACUUAGAGAACAACACCAUAUCUAUGCGGCUGCUUUACCUCAUGCUGAAACGACGGAAAAUGCAUCAUCCCUAAGCUCACACCAUUUAGAUAAUCAUCGUAAAAGAGAAAACAUACACAAAGACAGACAACAGGGGUAAGCUAGAUAAACAAGACAAUUCAUAUAUAUUAUAUUGAAAUUUCAAACAUUAGUUCAAAAAUAAACCAUAAUAGUUCAUUCAUCUUAUACAUGCUAUAACAUAGACAAGACUCAUCCGGAUUAGGUAUGAAUGUCGCACUAUUGGUAGUCUGUGCACUUGUAAUGGUAAUACAGUUGGCUGAAACCAAGCUACCGUACAAGGUUAGUCCAUUACAGUUGUUUAAGGUCAUGUCAAAGCUUAUAGACAAGAACCUCUCACUAAUCUCACCACUUGACUCACCCCUCUCUACUUGAGAAUGGAUGAUCAUUAGAGUGUCGGAAUAAACCACCAGUCCAAAACUCCAUACAUUCAUACAACAACAACAAUCACGACCAUAGAACCUCUCCACGAGUCAUGGAAUUACGUCCAACAACCACUCACACAUUCAACCACAUAUUCAUCAUCAUCAUAUCAUUCUCAUAAUCAUAAAUACAUAUACAUAUAAUUCACACAAACAUUGCAUACUAUCACAUGAAACUUUUAAUUAUACAUUAAACAACAAAAAACACCCUUAAUAGUCAUAAAAAAUACACAAUAACACAAUUUCUUCAUGACAUCUCGAUACUCACACUUAGGUAAGGAAAACUGUGACAUCCGGGCACUAACGAGGGCGGGGAGUGAUCGCCGGUGCAAGAAGCAUGGUGCAGGGGGCACGGACAAGGAGCGGCUCCUGGCAGGCUUCGAGUGGAAGGGCCACAUGGACAAAUCGAACAUACACCGGAAUGAGAGGGAUCUGGAGAUUGUAUAGGUAUGGGACUAUACAGUUGAAGGAUAGCUUAAAGGAAUUGAUUUGACUACUCAUAUCAACAAAGGCAUUUGCUUUUCGGUAGCCUAACUCAUAAGAACUCCAUGGUUAAGCGUGCUUAGCCUAGAGAAAUUAUGGGAUGGGUGACCUUCCGGGAAGUUUUCUCGAAAAGUGUGUGAGUGAGGACAAAGCACACUGGAAAGCCUCGUGUUGAUGUGUGGGGGCAGUCAGCAGUCCCUGUAAGUUGUCGGGGCGUUACAAAUGGUAUCAGAGCCUAGCCUCUCCCAGUACGGUGUGGUUCGAGGACGAACCAGACGGAAGCUGGUGGGCAUGUGACAUCCGGGCACUAACGAGGGCGGGAAGUGAUCGCCGCUCGGAAAGUGUGUGAGUGAGGACAAAGCACACUAGAAAGCCUCGUGUUUAUGUGUGGGGGCAGUCAGCAGUCCCUGUAAGUUGCCGAGGCGUUACAAAAACAGCUUUUGAAACCCUCACCAAUAGCUUCAAAAGGGUCAAAAACCCCUUAAAACGACCUAAAAACGUCUAAAAUGGACAUCCAAAACCCUAAAGACUAUUCAAACAUGUGCAGUGGUGAUUUUCGGACAACAAUAAUGGAUUAUCAUAUGUGAUAAGUGUUAACAAACUGGCAAGUGUAUCAGAUCGUAUCAAGUAAUAAUAAAUGGUAAGUCCAAGUAUCGUUUUCCCAAGAGACUCAAGGCACUAAACUGCUGUGCUUUUGCUUAACCAAUCAAGACUAUAAGAACAAAAUAUUUUGGAGUUUUUGAAUUUAAAGUACGGAAAAAUAAACAUGAAUGCAAUUUGAUCAAUUGAGGUUAAACACAAAAGUUAAUGGAGGAUGUUGAUAAUAUGAAAUGGAUUUGUUGCUAGGAUUCAGAUUUCACCCAAUCACUCUCAUAAAUUUACUUUUCUUAUUUGUUUCACUUUGUUAUCUAAUUGUCAUGCAAACUUUCUUAGUCUACCCUUAACCUGAUCCCUCGGCGAAAAAAACCUAUUAUUAGUUACUGGCUUGCUAUCCCUAGCCUCCCCUAGUAAUUAAUAACGCAUUAAGAACAGAAGCAAAAACAAUUGAUCGUCCUACCCCCUAUCCAUAGGUAGUAUUGCUUAAUCAAGGAAUUUCCCCCAGUUCAUAACAGUACUGUACGUUCCCGUAUCAAUAAAGACAAACAACGAUUAUCAAAUGAGUUAAACGAUAAAAGCUUUAAGCGCAGAAGAGAAACCCAACAAUUGAUAAUCAAAGCAUGCACAAGCAUAUAAAUAAAAUAAAAAUUUUGAUAUAUGAGAGUUUAGAGGUUACAUCUUUCCCUAGCAACAAAUAAGAUUAGUUUUCCAUCGUCAUGGAGAAACUAGGUGAAGAAUGGAAUGAAAGAGAUACAAACCCUAAAAAGAAGAAACGGAGAGCUGUCACCAUCUCCAAAUCUAGCCCCAAUGGGGGUGAAAAGUGUAUUUCUGUACCUAAGCCAUCAAAAGAUACCAACCCUAAGACGUUAUGGCCUUUAAAUAGGGCAUAAAAAUGACAUAAAACAAACCCAAGCCAAACAGAUCAUAAAAAAUAACAUAAAACAAGUCCAGGCCCAUCUGACAACCGCCCGACGCCUAAUUUCACCGCCCGACGGUUUUCCUCAAGCUGCGCCACCGCCCGACACUUAAUUUCACCGCUGGGCGCUAGUCAACUGCACUCUGGUCAACUUUUCAGCAUUCUGGUCAACUGGUUGACUUUUUUGGUUGACUAAUUGACUUUUCUGGUUGACUGGUUGACUUUUCUGCACUCCAACCAUUUGAUAAUUCAACCAUUCUUUCAAAUCAUUCCAAAAACCUACAAAAUCAAGGGAAUUUAACGAAAAAAAUCAUAAAACACGUCCUCAACUCUUUUAUUCACAAAAAAAUAAAGAAAACUCAUGAUUCCAAGCAAGUUUCUAUGUCAAAAGGGUGCAUUUGAUAUCAUAAUUAAGUAUGAAAAUAACGUUUUUUGAACCGUUAUCAAUAACCGAUUAUUGCCGAGAGCUUUGAAGAAAAUACGACCCUCUGACUGGAAUAAUCGAUUAUCAAGUGAGAUAAUCGAUUAUUCUUAUUAGUUUCUUACAACAACCUAAUUUUUAUGGUUUUGAUGCAUCUUAGACAUAUCCAAAUGAUCAAUUUAGAAUCUAUAACACUAAGAUUGAUACGAAAACAUGUUUAUAGAUGAAAUUGAGUACUAUAUUGCUCAUAUGGAUAGGAGUUUGAUGUACCAAACCAAUUCAACAACUCAAAAGUGUCUAAACUUAAUUCUAUCAUGCUAUUAUCUACUAUUAUCUCUUACACACUAGAUUUCACUUAUUUAAAGUUCUAGACAAGUCAUAAUAAGUCUAAUCAUACACUCUAAACUCCCCAACACCAUUCACAACCUUUUCCUCAAAAUCCGACUACUCAAAACCAUACUUUUACACUAAAAACACUACUAAACUUCCCCGAUGAAUUACCCCUUUUUGUUUCAUAUCAGAUUUUAAUCAGAGGACACCUCUAACAAGUCUCAAAUUACCACCUAACAGUCCCAAACCAGUUGAUUUCACAUUCAAACACCUAUCUCUAAAAAUCACCUAUCAAGACUCUCCCUUUUUAGGCUUAAACUCCAAAAAUUUGACUACUAACCACCCUAACACUCUAAAUUCAGUUUUCAAACACCAAAAGAACUUCAUCACACAAAAUCUAAACAAAAUAAAGUAUCACAAUCACAUCAUUACAAAUAUACCAACAUCAUACAAUCCUUAAUUCAUCAUUUGAACAUAAUUAUUACUAUCAUCACAAUUUCAUCUAAAUUAUUUGAUCAUACAAAGAGAUACUAGUUUCAAACCACAAACGUAAUUCAAAACAUGGUCCAGUUUUCCUUACCUCACAAUAAAUUGGCCGACUCAAAGAGCAUUCUGUUGAUUGCUUGAAACGCAAGAAAUCUCUAGACGAACCUACACAAUACUAAAUUGGAAACGGACGGAGUCCUUAAAACUCUAGAUUAACCAAGAUUGACUAGGAGAAACAUGAUCAAACACGCAAUGACCAUUCUUUCUUCUAAAAACAGAUCAGGAACGAGAGAGAAAAAAAGAGUCAAAACUUACUUGAUCUAUGACAAAAAUUGAUCGGCUAGAAAUGUAGACCUGUCCACCGUGAUCGAAUAGACACCUCCUGAUCGCCAAAGAGAUGACUCAAGAGUCACAACAUUUAGAGAGAAGGUAGAGAACUCUAGAAAAGUGGUUUCUAGAGAGAUGAUACGUUUCAAAAUAAUGAAUCUCGUUUAUGAUAAAAUUAUUUAUUAUAAAACCAUUUAAUAUUAAAAUAGCCGAGUCUCACUAUUUUUAGACUACCACCAUUUCUAAAAUACCAAAUUUUGGGGUUUUACAAUUAAUGAUAUUUUUACUAUUUUAAUCAUUUUCGUUUGCUUUUUUACAUUUCCAUGUAAGUUUUAUUUAAAAUUUUCAAUGUUUGAGAAAUGUAUUUUAAGUGAAAUUAUAAUUCUUUUGUUUUUGUUAAUUAAGAAAAAUAACUCAAAUUCAAUUUUAUGAGGCGUAUGCUUUUUAAGGUAUAUGUAGUUGGUGUGAGAAUGACUUGGCCAUGGCAUAGUCAAACAACAUAAAUGUAUAGGAGUUAUAAGAUUGUUUAGUGAUAAAGUUUGAAUAGAGAAUAGGAGAGGUUGUGAAUUCAACUCUUUCCAUUAGCAUUUGAGAAAUAUAAGGUUGGUUUGAUGAAUUUGUAAAGAAGAAUGAGAAAUGUUGUGGUGUAACUUCCUCGACUAACAAAAUACUAAUCGAGCUUAAGAAGGAGAGCAUGGUUGACGGAGAUAGCGAGACAUAAUCCUUUUUCCUGCUUUCCAAUGAUGAUAUAUUGUCAUUGUUAACAGUAAAAGAUAAUUAUGAGCGAGUAAGAGUAAGAUAUUGAAGUGACUAAACAAUGAUGCGAUAAUGUUUUACAUCUUCAAUAGCAUUAGAUCUAUCAAGAGUGAUAUGUGAGGAAGAAAUCAUGAGUGUAGAUUGAGGGUUGGAACUAAACAUAUUUACCUUAUGGAGGAUGUCCAAAAUAUAUUUGGUUUGAGACAAGUGAAGAUGCACUUUAGCAAUCCAUGAGGCUUGAAUACUAAGAAAGAGUGUAAUCUUCCUAAAUAUUUUAGAGCAAAAUGUUGUCGUAAGGAAGAGACAGUGGAUAAAAUUGCUCGUGAGGAAUUACCUGUGACGAUUAUUGUAAGACCCUUGAAAAAUAUCUAUUUUAAUAAAUAGUAAAUUUUAUUAGUAUUAUUAGUAAUAAUAAUUUUAAUGGAUAGAAAAUGUAAUUAAUUAGAAAAUUAUGGUUAGAAAAAUUAAAAAUUUAUGAUAGAGAAUUUUAGUAAUUUCAGAAGGAGGGGUUCAAAAUUUUGAAAGCCUAUUUUAGAAGGUUUUAUAAAGAAUAAUAAUAAUAAUAAUAAAUAAAUAAAAAAUCAAAUAGUGUAAAUGGAUAAGCACUCCAAGUUUGAAAUGAAGGAUUGAAGGAUCAUAUACGUCAAGUGGUGAUUAAAAUAUUAAUAUAAUAAAAUAAUAUUAAAAUAAUAAAUAAUAUUAAAAAAUUAUUAAAUAGUAACAUUUUUGGGCUAUAAAUAGCCAUGGGAGGGGAGGUUAUUUUGCACAAAGAGAGGAAGAAUCAAGUGAGAAAUCUAGAAAAAUAGAGAGGAAAGAGUUACGAGGAAAUUUUUAGUUGUAAGAGAGUAGAGGUUCUGGAGGAUUUUCGGGGGAACAACUUUUGAGUAGGAAACUAUUAAUGAAAAAAUGUGUUUGUUGUAUAACUAUCCAUAUUUGAAUUUUUGUGUUAAUAUUAUAUGUUGUUGUUUUGAAUAUGUGAAUAAGAAAUUUAUUAAUAACAAGUUGAGGAACACUUUGACUAGGAAAGACCUGGUACUUAAGUUGUCCAUUGUGACACACCUCUCUUUCCUAGAUGUCUACUCAACAAGUUUUCAGCUUAAUUCUUAUUGAACAGGUUUUGUAUUGUUCAAUUAUUUUGUAAUAUAUUUUAGUGGUAUUAAAUCAGUGAUGGAUGUAUAUUAUUUUGUUAUAUAUGAAUUUAUGCAUCUGAACAUGGUAUGAGUUAUGUGAAGGGAUUUUGUAGAGGUAUGGUAUGAGUUGAUGAAUAUGAACAUGAUACGAGUCUCGUGGAGAGAUUCCGUAGUGGCAUGAUAAUAGUGUACAUAUUGAUGUUGAGGGUCCUGAUGGAAAUGUCAUUCUGAUACUUUAAUAACUCUUCAGUCUCAAGUAGAGGAGGAUGAGUCAUGUGGUGAGAGGGGCAGGAGGUCCUAGUCUAUAUGCUAGUUUUGGACAUAGAUGUUAAUGGACUAACCUUGUGGUGACAUGUUGGAUUGUAUUUGGCCAUGAUUAUAGUUGUAUGGGGAGUUGAGGUUACCACAAGUGAAUGACCAUCCGAGACUUCCAUCAAUGUUUUAUCUGGAUAAUAGACUGUACUAUAAUCAUUGGUGUCUGAUAUGAAUUUUUAUUGAAAAUGAAGUAUGUGCAAUAAUUAUGUUAUACCUUAUUUUAAUAUUCUCUCUCAUGGUAACUUAACCUUAGUUUUUGUGUCUGUGCUGGAAAAUUAUAUUUUUGCGAUGAUCGUAUAACGUAUAUGUUAUACAACAGAUAAGGGAAUGUCGUCUAAUCCAGUAUAAGUGAAGAUAGAGACAGAAGCAUAGUAGAGAAGAGUUCGAGUUAUCUUUAUGAAAGAGAAGUUGAAAUUUGAGUUUAAAAUGUGUAAUUAGUUUGAGAAUUUUCGGAUAUUAGAAUUAUCUCAUCAAAACAUAUAUGAGAAUAAAAACAAUAUUGCAGGAAGAGAAUAAAUUAAAUAUAAAAUUUGAAAAUUUGAAUAUAUCAAAAUUUUAAAUAUAAAAGAAUUCUAAUUUUGUGUUUAAGUUAAAAUUUGAAAAUAUAUUUAACCUAUAAUAAUAAUAAUAAUAAUAAUAAUAAAAGUGAAAAAAAUAGACGCUUUUGCUAAUUAUUUAACAUCAUAUAAAUGAGUUUUCGUGUAGAUUUUAUUAACCUUUUCUAAAUAGGGUGUUGCUCCCUUCACCUCUCCAUCUACUUCCUCUACCUCCCCAACUUUUUAAAAUUUUUUUAAUUUCAAAAAUGAUUUUUUUCUUUACUUUUUUAACCUUUUUACUUUUUUUAGUUUAUCUUCCUUUCCACCAUUAGCUUUGUUAUCUUGGUAACCCCAGAUACAGCAGCAAAACAAAGUGCAGCAUUCUUAUCUUUGUUUUGAAUUUCUAGGUCCUUAAUUCUCAUUCUUUUGACCAGUUCCUCUACAAAUUUGGUGUGUCGAGCCGCAGUUGAAAUAUGAAGGGCUGUUUCCAUCCCUUUUGACAGAGACUGUUGAUGCCCCUCAAAAAUUAAGCAGUAGGACCCCUUUCUCAGUGUGUCCCUCUAUCUUCUUCCAAACUCUUUCUUCCUCUCCCUCUCCCUCUCUCCCUCCCCUCUCUUCUCUUUCUACCAUUGUGGAAAAAACCAAUUAACCAACCCAAAAAGCCGCCAACAGCAAACAAUGAUUUUACAGACAGGAAUCGUCCUGAAGAAAUUACUCUAAUCAGAUGACCACGAUAUCAGGUUUUGGGCAUUUCACCGAUAACUCCAUUGACAUUGACGAAGCAAUGACGCAGACAGAGACCGUUUCAGAGGUUUCCAAUUGCAUGAAGCGUGACCACUUGCGAUGGGUUUCUUGAUCGCGUGUUUCUCGGGGAUAACUUUGAUCGUUUGGCCAGAACGGAGGUCAGCGGUUAUCGUCUUCUUCCUGUACACACAGAGAAAAGGCAGCACACACAGAAAAGGCCACACUGCGGGGGUGGGGGUUUUAAGCAGAGUAGCAGGAGCGGAUAUCAAAACUUGCGAAACGGAUCUCAAAAGAGGGUUAGGCAGAGUAGUAGGAUUGAGGGUUAAAACUAAAAAUUAAAAAGGUUAAAAAGGUAAAGAAAAAAUUAUUUUUGUAAUAAAAAAAAAUUAAGAAAGUUAGGGAGGUGGAGGGAGCAGAUGGGGAGGUGGAGGGAGCAACACCCUUCUAAAUAUGUAGAGGUGAAGCUACGAAACACAAGAGUGAGAAUAGAAGGCCUUUAUUCUUGGCAUAAGGCCCAGUAUUGGGUCCAGAAAGCCCAUUUAGAAGUCAUGGACAUUUGUGUAAUAUAGGUCUCCAUUUUAUGCAUACUUGAACUGUUCCGCAUAUUUCACAAAAGCCAACAGAAAUUAAAUUUUUGUUAUAUUUACCUACAUAACAAUGAUAACAACAAUUAUCUAACUUAAAAAAAAAAGGAAAAAAAAAUCAUAUUUGCAAUUUAAAUAGUUCACAGUCCAAUCCACAAGUUAAAUUUAUUUAAUCCGUUUAAUCACGGUAUUUUAUUUAAAUACAAAUUUAUUUAGGUAUAAAUUUAUAACAAAUUGUUUCAUCUGAGACUUUGAAUUGUCUAUUGAAUUUUUUUAUUAUCCUUUUAUUUUGCCUUUAAAAUACACUAAUUUUAAUAAAAAUAUAUUAGAAAACUUUUUAAUAUAUUAAAAUCAGUACAUUUUUAAAAAUAUAAUAAAAAUCUAGACCAACAAAUUCUCACCUACUGUAAUAAUCUACAUUUAUCAUGAUUAUAUCUAUAACAAGGAAAACAAAUAUUUGUUUUUAAAAUAAUCAUAGAUAAAUAUGGAACUGUCAAAAUGAGUCAUAAUCUGAGCCAAUUCGGUUUACUACGGAUUCAGGCUGGAUUGGGUUUGAAAAAAUUGUAUUUUUUUUAUGUAAAUCAGAUUUCGACCCGGCUCAUUUUAACCCGACUCAUGCGAGUUGAAUCUGUGGCGGGUCGGGUUGGCCUACCAACUCACCUACCUAAUUUUAUUAUACUAAAAUUUAAUUUUAAUUUUAUAAAAAAAUAUUUAUUAUUUCUUUUGCUUGAAAACAUUAUUUAAGUUUUCCAUUCCACCCAUGGAAGUGAAAUUUGUUUAGAUUUGAAUUAUAGAAAGUUUGUAAUUUUGCCAGUGAGUCAACCCGUUUACCCAUCAACCCGUGGUGGGUCGAGCCGAGUUCAAAUUUUUCUGACUCACUAAUAAAUAAACCAGGUUGGGUUGGCUCACUAAGUGACUAAUCUGGGGUGAGUCGGGCUGAGUCGGACCGGAUUACCCAUUUUAACGGUUCUAGAUAAAUAUCAAAUUUAUUUUAAGAGACAUACAACUUAAUUAACUGAUCGAUUCCCAAGAUAUAGUAAAGUAAACCAAUUUAAUUCAGUUUUAUUGUUUGUUAAAUUAUUUCUCUUUCUUCACUAUACAUGCUCUCUCUUAUUUGACACAAUAGAGCAAAAUAUUAUGGAUGAAAAUAGAAAAAAAUGGAUAAAUUUUUUAUUUGAUGGAAAUAUGAUUGAAAUUGUGAAAAGAAUAUUGAAAUUUACUUUUACUUUGUUUGGUUUAAAGUAAGAUUAUAAAUAAUAAUAAUAAUAAUAAUAAUAAUAAUAAUAAUAAUAAUAAUAAUAAUGGUCUAACAAUAAAAUAUGGAAUAACGUUUUGUAAACUAAAAAUAAUCAAUUAUCGUUGAAAAAAACUGAUGAUUUUCACAAUUACAAAGUGAUAGUUUUGUAGUAAAACUAUUAUGGAAAUAUUUCCUUUGAAUCUCACAAUUUUCAUCCUAUAUGGAUUUUUUUUUUCUAUCUUCCUUGCAAAACAAAUACAAAUUAAAACUUCCCUCUCCCUCUUCUCAAUUUCACUAUUAUUUUCACUGUGCAUGUUAUUGUGUUUUUCAUAUUAUUUUAGAGAAAAAUAUAUAAAAUAUUAACAAAAACUCUACUUUAUUUAAAAAACUUAUUUUAACUUUUUUUUAAAUAAAAAGUUAAAUAAAAUAUAAUCAGCACACAGUCAAAAUAAGUCAAUUAGUAUAGGUUUCUCUUUAUUAUUAGUGCAUAUAUAUGGUAGUCUAGUUUUCUGUUUCUAUAAAUUUAUCGAUGAAAAACCUAAUCACAUAUUAAAUGAAUCGUUUUCAACAUUCAUCUUCAAUAUCAAUUACUAAUAAUUUAAAGAAAAUGUACUAUAAUCAAUUAAUAAUAUGAAGAUAACAAUGAAAAAAAAAUCACAAUAAUUUCAGAAAAUUUCUCUCAUCAACAAACAAGUAAAAAUUGUUAUAAAAGUAAAAAAAAAUAACUCCUUAAAUAUGAACUAACACUAUUAAGCUCAUAUAACUAAUUAGAUUCGUUACCUGAUUAUCAAACAAAAUGAUGUUGUAAAAAAAAUUCCUAAUUACAUAAUAAAAAAAGAAUAAUGAUACUUUGACAACAUUUUUUUACAACAUUUUAACACUAUCUACGUGUCAUUCUGUGAUUGGUCCAUGUUGGUGUUUAUGAUUAUUAUUAUUAAUAAUUGUGGAGUAAUUUUGAACCAAUCAUAAAAUGACAAGUAAAUGAUGUUAAAAUAUUAUAAAAAAAUGUUGUCAAAUAUCAUUAUCCUAAAAAAAACACAACAAAAUAUUAUACUAUUUCUAAUUUAAGUAACCCUAAACAUUCUUAUUGAUAAUUUAUUUUACUCUAUCCACUCCUAAUCAAUCAAUUAAUUAAUCAAAGGGAAAGGGGAAUAUGAAUACGUGUUACCUUUUUUCUUAUUAUAUCACCACUCAAUCCUUAUUAUUGAUUCAUCUAUGCAUAGAUAGCAAUAAUUUGUUUAGCUUUUUCAACUUUUUGACUUUUUCAUUUAUAUAUCAACACGUGUUAUGUAUAUAUAGGUAUAUGAAGUUCAGUGCCAAUAUCAUUUAAAAAAAAAAAAAGAAAUUGCUCAAACAAUAUGAAGAAGCAAUGCAUAAUGACAAUGCAUGAAGAGGGCAUGGAAGAAUAAAAUAACUUUUUAUUUGGUAGUGACAGAAAAAGCUUGCUACCACCAACCAUGGAAGAAUGCUACAAUUUAUCAUUAAAAAUUGCUACCUGAAAUUAACUACCAAAAUCUUGCAAUUGCAACACCUAUAUAUAACUGUUGUGGCAGGUAUCUGUUGUUAUCACUGUUUCCAUAUUGACCAACAUCCAACGUUUUAUGUUUUAUGUUUUUUAUUUUUUAUUUUAAAUUUAUGUUAAACGUCAUUUUGAACUAUGAAAUCUUAGUUAGGUUGAGAUUCUAUAAUUUAAUAAUCAUUUGUUAUACAAUUUUAUGUUAUUUUCUUUGUUAUACAUUUUUUUUUAAUUUAAACUUAAUAAAUGAAUAUUGUUAGAUUCUAAAUUUGGUGUUGUGUCUAACUCAGUUGUUUAAACAUAAUAAGUGAAUUUUAAUAAACUCUCCUAUAUGUUAUAUUCUUAAUGAUGAAAAGAAUUCUAAAUUUUGCCACUUGCCAUUUUCCCUUUUUUCAAAAAUGUGUAGUUUGUCUUAAACUUACGAGUUUAUCGUCUUAUACAUAGUUAAUAACUUCGCAAAAGAAUUUAUCAAAUAUUGUUAGAGUGUAUAUUUAACUAUUUUUUAACAUUUUUUGUAUUGCUUCUUGGUAUGAAAGACGUGCUUUUUAUUGAUGAAAGGAAGUAGUUAAAAAAUAUAUGAGAAACAUUAUUUUGACUGUUUUAGCAAAACAAAUUAUUACAAAGAUCUUUUGUUUUUUUUUUUCUUACACUCAAAUUUGCAUAAAAUAAUUUUUAGACACUUGUCGAACAGUUAGAAGUGAACUUUAAACUUAAUUCAACUUUACAAAAUCAGUUUGUAAGAUGAGGUUUACAUUUACUUAUAUACUAUGAAGUAGCCUCAUUUAUAGUUAAUGUGAGACUAUAGAUAAAAUAUAAAAUGAACAAUUAAUGUAAUAUACAGUAACCAUCUCAAGAUAAGUAUAGUAUUUUGUAUAAAUGUAACAGAGAGAGAGAAAGGGGAAGAGGGAAGGGAGUGAUCAUUGUUUUCCUUUUGUAUGAUAAAUCACCUCAAACAUAACUUUUAAGUAAUUAUCAUAAAGUUUAAAUGAUAAUGUUAGCAAAAGUAUGCUUGUAGAUUCACUUGUCAAUUGAAGUUUUCUAAUAUGAAAUUCAUAUAAUUUGGUUAGAUUUUUAUAUUUUAAUGAGAUAUUUAUAUGUAAAAUGAUAUUACUUUAGUAACAUAUUUCGUAUAUGCUUAAUAUAGUUUUUUAGAAUUGCAUAUUUAUCUUAGUUUAAGUAUCUUAUGAUUUUUCCUUUUUCCUUUAUACUUGUUAUGAAGUGGAUAAUACUUUUAAACCAAACAAUGGUAUUAGCUUGUAUACUGUAUGUCUCUGUCAGAUAUAAUUUUCUUCUUUCAAUGUUAUGUUUCCUUGUCCUUUUAUUGGUGUACGUUGAAUAUUUCAAGUCUUAAAAUGUAUCUAUAUCUGUAAUUGACAAUUAUAACAUGAUUAUUUAAUUAAUUAUCAUUUUAUAAAUUAUCAUUAAUCCAUAUUUAAAAAAUAUUCUAUCAAUAACAUCCUAUGAUUAUAAAAUAAUUAUUAUAACGCCUAAUAAUACGCGUUGGAAUUUUGGUCAAUAUUACAUAAAAAAACAAAUCUGUAUAUAUUGUGAUAUAAUUAUAGAAGUGAAGAUGAGAUGCAGUGCAUUGUUUCUAUGAUGAGAAAAAAACAUUCCAUAUGAAAUGAUUUUGUUUAUAAGUGCAAUUAAUUUAUAAACUAAUUUAUAUACGUUUUUCUGACAUGAUUUUUCUAAGAAAAUAUUGACUUAAGCUAUAAGUUAAUUUAACUUACCAAAAAAAUAUUUAAUUUUAUCACAAAUUUAUAUAAAAAAGUUUUCCAAACAAAUUUUAAAUUAUUUAAUUAUUAUUAGAAGCUGAUUGUAUAAUUUUGAGUUCGGUUAAAAAAGAAUAAUGAUAUUUCGAUAAUAUUUUUUUGAUAACAUUUGAACAUCAUCUACGUGUCAUUCUGUGAUUGGUUCAAAAUUACUUCACAAUCAAUAAUAAUAAUCAUAAAUAUCAUCAUGGACCAAUCACAGAAUGACACGUAGAUGAUGUUCAAAUGUUGUCAAAAAAAUGUUGUUUAAGAAUCAUUAUCCUUUAGAAAAUCACGUUAUAAAAAGUUGAAGAUAUCUAGUGUAAGCAAUUUCCUGCAUGUUUCUCUAAAUUUGACAGGUUUGGAUCAGCAGGGAACACCACUAAAGAACUUAGGAAAAGUUGGUCUGUUUUUCUAUGCUUUCUAGGUUGCUUUUGUAACCAUUUUUUCUUGUGCUUUUUGUGGAUGUUUCUGUAACAAUAGAGAGAUGAGAAAGUUGGUUUUGUUAAUUGGAAGAAAGACAAAGGGAGAAACCAGAUUGGUACACGCUAUAUAUAGCUUGCACGUUUCUCAGUUCGUAAAGAACCCAACAAACAACUAGGUUAGGUUUGAGUGAAAGAGCCAAAAAUAAAUAAAAUAGAGUCACUUUAAAACUCUAGGAAACUAACUUACAAUGACCUUGCAUGUGAUUCAGUUGACUGGUUUACAUUAUUUUGUUUUUAUUUUUUCUAACUUUCAUCGUGAAUUCAGACCAACCCUACUCGAUUACUAGAUCUUUUUAGUUUUGAAAAUUUGUCAUACAUAGUUUACAUGAAAUUAUCUUAAUUAUUUAAGAACAUUUUGUCUCCUAAAAUAUAGAACUAUUAUAAGUUAAUAAAUUUUUUUAAAAUUUUUUAUAAUAAAUUAUGCAUCAUUAUUUUAUUAGUAUGUAUAUUAGAAACAAAUAAAUCACAAAUUAUCACAUAAGCGGUUGUAAAAAAGUUGUUAAAAAAAAUUGUUAAAAAAAUAUUUACCAAAAGUAUAUUUAUACUCAUAAGUUCGAAAUUUUGUUUCGACAAGAAAGUUUGAACUUGAAAUGUUACAUUUUGAAAAAGAAAGUGGCAUGUCCGACAUAGCAAUUCUCAGUCAUAUGUCGAGUUAAGAGGUUGAAUAUAUCCAAAUUUCGGUAGUGACCCAAUGUAAUCUUCAAGCAAUCACUAUUCCAAAACAUGCUUUUAAAAAAAUAAGACUACAUAAGAACGGUUAACUAUAUAAAACGGUUUUUCAAUUAUCGUUAUAUAAGCCGUCGUAAGAAAAUAAGACUACAUAAGAACGGCCGUCGUUAAAAAACAGACACGAGAAGGUUUAUGGUGAAAUGAGAAAAGACAAAUAUUUGUUAGUUCAAGAUAUAGUAAUGUAUUUGUUUGUUAGGUUUGAUAUUUAUAAGCAAUUUAGAAGCUAUACGAGAAUCAUUUCUUUUUAAGAUGUAACCUUUAUGGAGAAACAAGUCAUUAAUAGAUAAGGCAAACUAUUCUAAAGUUGUAUUAAGUGAAGGAAAUUAUUUACACUUUGAGAAGAUUCAUUAUUUAAAAAAUUAAACAUUCACUGUUGUUUCGGUAGGUAUUUUACGGGACCGAGACACUAACAUGUUGUGACGUGGCUUCAUCGCUUUUCAAUGUUUGAAUUGGGUUCUCCGCUUGUCUUCUUUCCGCCUGGUCGCUCGAUCGCCUACAAUCUUGGUCGUUCGGUGAUCUUCAGGCUUUGACUGUUCAAUCGCUUUCCUGGUGGAGAGGGGGAGGUACCUGCAAAAGGUACUCCGGUGGAGAGGGGGAGGUAUCUGCAAAAGGCACUCCGAUGCCCAAGUGAGGCUUGUAUUGAAGAGCCUCGGCUCUUGAUUUGAAUAUUUGAGAAUAUGAGUUGUGGAGUGUGAAUAGAAUGUAAUUGAAAGAUGAUUCGAAGGUACCUGGCUUGUGGCCUUGACUCUCUAUUUAUAAUUUGUCUUAUGGACCUUAAACUAAUAUAAGCCCAACAAAAUAUAAACAGACUUACUUGAAAAUCUUGUUAGUUGCUAAAUAUCUUUAAAUAGAUAUUCUUGAUUAUUUUAUAUCUUUAAUAAGAUAUAUCGUAACCGCUCGGCCUUGAUAUCAUAUUGUACAUUAUGUCCCCCAAGUCCGAGUUAAUCAUUUAGCUUUAGUCAUGAUUAACUAUAGGACUUAUGAGUUUAAGGAAGACUAUUUUUGUUGUACAAGGGAACGUGCUUUUAGGCGUUGCUCAUCUCUAAACCGAACGGCGAGAGAGAUACCUUGGAGGCCGAAUGGCCGAGAUUCUGUUAAGCCAAAUGGCUGAACGCCUGUGAGGCCGAAUGGCCAAAUGUUUGUCAAGCCGAAUGGCUGUAUGACUGUGAAGCCGAAUGACCGAGAACCUGUAAAGCUGAGUGGCUGUAUGAUUGUGAGGCUGAAUAGCCGAGCACCUGUGAGGCCGAAUGGCCAAGUACCUGUAAAGCCGAAUGACUGUAUGAUUGUGAGGCCGACUGGCCGAGCACUUGUGAGGCCGAACGACCGAGCACUUGCAAAGCCGAAUGGCUGAAUGCUUGUGAGGGAGCGUUCACCGAGGGAAUGCUUUGAUCGUUUGGAUGAUAGUCCUUGGGGAUUGUCUAUGAUUUAUAGCCCAUGGGGGACUGUCUUUGAUUUAUAGUCCAUGGGGGACUGUCUUUGAUUUAUAGUCCAUGGGGGACUGUCUUUGAUUUAUAGUCCAUGGGGGACUGUCUUUGAUUUAUAGUCCAUGGGGGGCUGUCUUUGAUUUAUAGUCCAUGGGGGAUUGUCUUUGAUUUAUAGUCCAUGGGGGACUGUUUUUUAUUUAUAGUCCAUGGGGGACUGUUUUUUAAUUAUAGUCCAUGGGGGACUGUUUUUUAUUUAUAGUCCAUGGGAGAUUGUCUUUGAUUUAUAGUCCAUGGAGGAUUGUCUUAAGACUGAGCUCCUGUGAGGGCAGAUGGCCGAGUACCUGCUUUAAUUAUGGAAAGCGCAGACUUAUCAAUUGGAAUGAAUCCAUUGACCACUGAACUGCUUCGAUGAUUCCUAAUUGUGGAGGACGGGUAGUCAUCUCUCGUGGAGUGGUGGAGAAAUAAACAUUGUAGUGGUGGUCGUCGGGUAGACCUGUCAAAUAGGCCCUGGCCUUAGCCCAUGUGGGUUAGGGCCAAAAAAGUCCACAGGGCCAAAAAAGUCCUUUAUUAAAAAAGCCUCCAGGGCUAAAAAGCCCCAAAGCCCUGUGGGUCAGGGCCAACCCAUGGGCUUUCUUUUUUACAAAAACAAUUAAAUAUUCAAUAAUAAAUUGCAUUUUUACAGAGAAAAGAAACACUUAUAUUAAGUGUUAUAACUUGAAAAAUUUAAAUUAUGAAGCACACAAACUCAAUCAGAGAAAAAGNUAUCAACUUAUAUAGCAGCCANAAUCACAAACANUNAAGAAUGAUUGUCAAAAAAANUUGAAUGUGAAGAUUGGUGGCAGUGUUUAUUUUAGAUGCUCUCUAAUCANGCAUAGUCAGUUGAUUUACUCCAAUACCUUAUUAACAUCUGGAAAGUAAUUUUGCCUACUAUAAUUAUUGCAUAUUUGAAAACAGAUAUGUCCAAUGAGAGAAAAAAAAAGAGAUAUUGUAUACAUCCAGAAUUGGAAACUAAGAAAAAAGAUAUUAUAGUGUAACAUUUCAUAUUAUAGUGUAACAUUUCAGUUAUCUUGUAUUUCAGCUAUUAUAUAUCAUAUAACCGUUAUAUUGUAUAUAUUUUAAAUAUUUAUAUAAAAUAGUUAUCUUAAUAUCUACUGUCAUUAGAGAUUUAAGAUUUUUAUAUUUCAAAAAAUACUUAUCUUGUUGAUGAAACUUAGACGACGAUUCUUGUUGUACAGUUCUUGUUUUGCUGAGAAUUUCUGGUGUUGAUCCGAAGCAGUGAUGUUGAUACCGAGCGCUUGUCUUGGUUCCUCGUGGCUUUCAUGGGGAUGCCGCCCGGCCCCACGGUGGGUGCCAAAAUGUUUUGGUAGGUAUUUUACGGGAUCGAGACACUAACAUGUUGUGACGUGGCUUCACCGUUUUCCAAUGCUUGAACUAGGUUCUCCGCUUGUCUUCUUUCCGCCUAGUCGCUCGAUCGCCUACAAUCUUGGUCGUUCGGUGAUCUUCAGGCUUUGACUGUUGGAUCGCUUUCCUGGUGGAGAGGGGGAGUACCUGCAAAAGGCACUCUGACGCCCAAGUCAGGCGUGUAUUGAAGAGCCUCGGUUCUUGAUUUGAAUAUUUGAGAAUAUGAGUUGUGGAGUGUGAAUAGGACGUAAUUGGAAGAUGAUUCGAAGGUACCUGGCUUGUGGCCUUGACUCUCUAUUUAUAAUUUGUCUCAUGGACCUUCAACUGAUAUAAGCCCAACAUAAUAUAAACAGAAUAUAUUAUAAACAGACUUACUUGAAAAUUUUGUUAGUUGCUAAAUAUCUUUAAAUAAAUAUUCUUAAUUAUUUUAUAUCUUUAAUAAGAUAUAUCGUAACCGCUCGGUCCUGAUAUCAUAUUGUACAAAGAUUGUUGGAAUUUUACUUGAAUGACAAACUUAUAGAUUUAUAACUGUUUAGUUGCAUUAUCUAAUCAUAGAGUAAGAUAAAUAAAUAAAUAAAUAAAUAUAUAUAUAUGACAAUAAUAAAGCUAAAAUUUUAUUUUGUGGUUUGAAUUGAAUAUAAGGGUGUUGAAGUGAAAUCCAAUUUAUAAUAAUUCAAAUUCAUAUUAAUUUAAGUUUAUUUUAAAUUUAAAUUUAUAUAAUUUUUAUUUUAAAUUCAAUUUAUUUAAUUGGAUUUGAUUUGGUUUUGAUCACAUUUAAAUAAUUUUUUUUUUAAGUUUUAAAAGCCAAAAUUAAGGUAUGUCUAAGUCGAAUUAAGACAAUUAAGGAUUAAGUCAGGCUAAACGUUAAUUUCAGUCAGCCCAAAUCUAAGAUUAAGUCAAGUUGUCUUAAGUAGAGUCACGUUUGCAUGGGUCAAAGGUCGAUGAUAGCCAACAAGAGUUAAAUCUCAAGCAAAGUUACUCAUGGUUAAAGGUUGACUCAAGUAAAUCAGUAUCGAAGGUCAUCCUGAAUCGACUUGACUAAAAGGUGGAGCUGAGUUGGUCCAAGUCAAAGGUCAAGCUAAGUUGACCUAAUACAAAGAUCAAUCCUAGUUGGUCGUAGGCCAAAGGUUGAGAUAAGUCAACCCAUGCCAAACAUCAAGCUGAGUGUGCUUGUAUCGAUGGUCAAGCCAUGUCAACUUAGGCCGAAGGUCGACUUGAGUUGUCCUUGUCCUGCACUAAAGGUCAAGUCAAGUUGGUCUAGAUUGAAGUUAAGCCAAGUAGCAUAAGCGAAAAAUCAAAUCGAGUUGUCCUAGGCCGAGUAACAAGCUAAUUCUACCCAAGCUAAAUGACGAUUCGAGUCGGCCUGAGUUAAAGGUGGAGUGGAAUUGACCCUAGCAAAGGUUCGCCAGUCAGCCUAGACCGAAUACUUGAGUUAAGUCAUCCCAGACCCAAGGUCUAGUCUAGAAUUAAGUCACCUUGAGCCCAAGGUUGAGUUAUGUUGGCACGAUCCCUAAUCGAUCUAAGUUGACCCUAAACCAUGUGGAGCUAUGUUGGCACAAACGUAAGUAGAGUCAACUUGGUCUGGGGCCAAUUGAUUAUAGUCAUUUUUGGUCAAUGUUGAGGUGAAAUAGCAAAGACCCAAGUGAAGUCGAGUGAACUAGGCCCAAGUCAAAGUCAGUCUAGGUCCAAGUUAAGCCAAGACAACUCAACUCAUGUCUAAUAGACUUAAUAGUUAAGUAUAUUAGAUCGAUCUCAUUGGAUUUAAUCUAAUUGACAAAGUGAAUUUAAUUUGGAUUGAAUCCAUAUUUUUUCUAAUCUAAUUUGAGUUGGAAAAAUCUUAAUCUAAUAUAGAUUUUUAUUGGAUUUGGAUUAUAUAUCCAAUCUAUUUUAUUGGAUCUACACUUAUUUUUUUUUAAAAAAAAUCAAUUUAUGACCACCCUUAAUUGAAUAUUAUUGAUGAUGAAAAAUGUUGGAAAUAUGAUAUUUUGUUUAGCUUUUAAUUGUGUAGUACAAAAUAUACUUUUAAAUAAGAUUUCGAUGGCUUAGAUAAGUUAAGAUAUUGAUAUCAAUCAUAUCAAAUAAAAUUUUCUUUUCAUAAAAUUCAUAUGAAAAUGUUUGAUAUUGUAAAAAUUUUGAUUUUAGUUAUUUUUACAACAUUUUCUAAUGUAUUUUCUCUAAAUAUUGCUCAAGCAAUAAGUUGGUCACUUAAGCAAUACAUUUUAGUCAAAAUUGAUUUAUAUUUUAAUACUUCCUUCUCAAUAAGCAACUUAGUUGAUAAAUGUCAUUCUUUAAGUGACAAUUCAUCACUCAAUCUAGGAAAACAUUGAAUUAAUUAUCUCUCCUAUGAAGAAAAUAUAUAACAUAUAAUGAUAUGAUGCCUAAUCAUAUGCUUUUACUUCACAGAGAUCCAAAACUCAUAUCACAAUCAUAUCAUAAUCUUUACUAAACUCAUAAUUUAAUUCAUGAUGUACUAAUUGUGAAUGUGUGAUCUUCUAAAUGUAGAAAUGUACUUGAGUUUGUCAUUAUGAAUGAUGCGGAUGAUGUUGUUAGCAUAAAGAUGAAUCUCAGAAGUUUUGAUGAUGUCUCAAAGUCAAGUUUCAAGUGCUCUUGUUGCAAGAAGAUUUUCAUGAAGACUUGUUUUAUGUCAAAGCUUUUGUAAUUUAGUAGAAUUAUAUAGGAUGUGGUUUAUCUUUGAUUCCAUGUAUUGUUUGUCUUAGGUUGCGUUAAAAUUCAUUUUGAAUCAGAAAACCUCAUUUUCACUCAAGAUAAUCGAUUACCAACUAAUGAUAAUCCAUUAUCAGUAAUCGAUUAUGACUUGCCAUAAUUGAUUAUCACGAGCAAUAAUGAGAAUUUUCAAACAAGUUUUUGACCAUUGUGCAUUCACUAAAUGCAUAAUCGAUUACCUUAUUUAGAUAAUCGAUUAUCAUGCGUUAAAUAGCUGACAAUGAGCUUUUGGAGGCAUCCAAGAGUGAGAUCUCUAUAAAUUGGAUUAGGACGCUCAUUCUAAUAUACGAAAUACUUGAAUUUAGAAAAGCUUAUUGUAUUGUUGUGUGCUAUGAUAAGUGUGUUAUAGGGUUUGUGUAACCCUUGUGCUUGUGGCUUUGAGAACUUGGUGUUGACAUAGAGUGAGAACUUUCACGGGAGUUAUGAUUGAGUGUUAUUGUUGUUGCUGAGUUAAAUCCUAUCACCCUUUUGAAGAUUCAAAUGAGGUGUUCAUCAUUCGUGAAACAUUCAGAGGAGGUGUUCAUUCCUUGUGGGUUUCAGGCGAAGUGAGUUUCAUCUCCUAUGGUAACAAGAGAGGUCUUCUAACUUUAAACUUGGUUGUUUUCUUUGUGAUAAUAACAGUUUCUUGGUUUGUGAUAGUGAGGUGUUAUAUAUUGGUUGAGAUUAACAACUAGACGUAGGAUUCGUGUGAUCUGAACUAGUAUAAAAAUCAUUUGUGCAAUUAUUAAAGACACGAUUUGCGAUAAGAAAUCAAUUCACCUCCCCACUUGGUUUGUUGUAUACACUAACCAUUUCGCUGCACCUCUCUUACAUAUGUGAUUAAGUGCAAGUAUGUCACUAUACCAUAAAAGGUUUUUUAUAUCGAUUUUUGAAUAAGUAUAGAAGCAAUGGGUAUAGAAGGUAGUUGACUUUCUAUACUAGUUCUAGAACAGGGAUAAAAAGUCUCACUUUUAUACCGGUUAUUUAUAGAACAUGUAUAAAAAGUCUAUUUUUAUACUUGUUAUUGCCAUAACCAUAUAAAAAGUCUCAUUUAUUUUCAACACCAGAUUUCCUCUAGAAGCACCCUGCUUGAGUAUUUCAAAUCACCAUCCACAACUUCUAACAUUCAAAAUUUCUCUAGUGCAAAUUAAAAUAUAUAACUAAAGAAAUAAUAUAAAUAUAACAUAUUAUUAUACAUUAAGUAAAAAUAUGAGUAAAUAAGCAUGUUAUUAUAUAAACUAAUACAAAAAAGAGAUAAGAAUACCAACAUCAUAAAGUUAAACUAAAUAGGACACAAUGCUUUGCAGAUAAUGAGACAAAUGAAGGUUUUACUGUCUGAAGCAGACUGAGGUUUCCCAAAAUGCACUAUUAUGGCAACUAAGCUUCAUGCAACAAAUCUUAAGGCUAAAGAGGAAAUUCAUUAUCAACAACGUGAAACAUCGUAUCUUGUUCAUCUUGCUACAAGGACUACCCGAAGAGGUCUUCACUGUAUGUCUAUGCAUUUAACUACUGAUUAUUUUGCCCUGAGACCUGAGGACAGGAAGCUUCCAAAUGAAAAUAAGAUUAAUGAUUUUGGCACCAAUUUAUUUAAUCUCAUUCCUAUCUUUCCUUGAACCCAUCCAACUUAUAAUUGGCAUUUCGAACUGUAGGAUUGUUCUCAUGCAUAAAACGUCUGAAACAAUGGUGAUGCUCUCUCCUUAAACAUCAAAACAAUGAAGAAUAAAAGUUUGUAAACUAUGAGAAUCACAAAUAGAGUUUCCAAGUCCGACCACUUUACUUUUCAUUGAUCCAAAGAAAUGUUAAUCAUACAUUUGGUUGAAAAUCACGUAAUAGAAAAAUAAUCUUCUCAAACAAAACCAUAGGCAGAAAUUUAAAUAAAACACACAAUGAUUACAUUCAAUUCCAUUUUUUUCCCUCUAUUCAUCAAUUGAAACACAACUCCAUCUAUCCCCCUUUUCCAUUUUGGUGUAGAGAAUAACAAUAAACUAGGAUCUCCAUCAAUCCCAUGAAGAAUAAGAAGCCAGUGGCACCUUCGACUACAGACAAUUGUGCGGUUGUCGAUGCUGAGCGUGACAAGUGGUGUUAAAAUAAAGGAAAAAGUCUCUUUAACAAUUCUUUUUUUUGACAACUUUUUGACAAUACAUACGUGAUAGGUUGUGAUUGGUCCGUUUCAAAUAUUUUUUUAGAAUAAAUUUAAACAGACCAAUAAAAUGGUGACACGUGUUCUAUUAUCAAAAUAUUGUUAAAAAAGGUUGUUAAAAUAUCAUUGUCCUAAAAUAAAACUCACACGCACACUCUGAUAUUUCUGUGAAAAUGAGUCUUACUAUCUAUUCAAUGCUUAUGGCUUUUAAUAGCCACGAAAACCAAAUACAAAAACUGUUUUUCAAAUAAAAUAAGCCUAGCAUAUCUACCAAUUAUUUUCAGUCGGACUUGCAGCUGCACUACCUAAUAUCACGACAUGAAUUACUUAACCAAAACAAUAUUUUCAAAAGCAAAAUUACAAAUAAACCCUUCUCAUAAUUUAAAGUUUAUCUAACAAGUGGCGCAUAGUAGCUGUUGCACCAUGGUUUCACAUUGGUUAUUUAAAGAAUAGGGGAAGAAGAGAAUCAACACCCUCAAUGACAUCAUGGUAUGGCAGCACAAUACUUAUGACGAGUGGCAUUGGUGCAAACAACGGUGGCGCUGCGAGAACCCAAUAUAUAUAUAUAUAUAUUAUUAGUAAAAAAAAUAAAGAUUUUAACUCGUUUAUUUGACAUCAAUUUUGUCCCAACCGAAGCAUAAAAUAACUCGGUGACAUUUUUGUAAUUAUCACAAACGUAUAUGUCUCCAUUCUUUUUGAGCUGAGGCCAAAAGGGGUCUACGACCUCGGUUCUUUAUAGAACCAAGGUGGUAGAGGCUUACUGCCUCGAUUAAAAAAAAUAACCAAUGUAAUAACAUGACUGGAUUUUUUUUUAUAGACUUUAAGUACUAGUUCUUUCUAGAACCGAGGAAGUAGAGGUUUAUUGCCUCGGUUAAAAAAAUAGCAGAGCUAAUAACAUAAUUGAAUUUUUUUUAUAGACUUUAGGCACCAGUUCUUUUUGGAACUGAGGCGGUAGAGGUUUAUUACCUCGGUUAAAAAAAUAACUGAGGUAAUAACAUGCAUUUAGGUUUAAAUUUCGCAAACAGAGGCAUUUUUAGACAAAAGGCCUUUGUUUUGUUUAAAUUUCGUUGUUGCUCUCUCUCGCCCUUGGGGUUUUUUCUGCCAAUGUUUUGUUAUCUUCUUUACUCCUCUGUCGUGGCUUCACAAUAAGGGGGAACACCCAUCUUCUUAUUUUUCUUUUCUUCUCGUUUCUUUUCGCCUCGCAGUGAGGGAGGGGCGAACCUCAUUUUCCUCUUCUCCAACUCUGGUUCGUGUUUCGCAUGGAGGGAAGACUCCCUUUCGCUUCUCGGUGUUGGUUCGUUUUUGCAGGAAGGGGGGCGACUUCGAUAGCUUAAGCACCUCUUUCUUUUUCGCGAUGUGGUGGUAACGGUGCCUCCAUGAGGGUUCUUUCUUUGGGUGGUUUCCUUUGUUUCUUUUAUACAAAUUGGCGGGUUUCUGACCUUGUAAUGAUUUGAGAUUUUUUUUUUUAAUUUGAUUCGUGUGUUUUGGGGCUAGGUUUUUGGAUUACGAUUUGGAAAUUUGGGGUUUUUGUGCUUGCAAAAUUUUCUUGCAAUUUGAGAUUUGAAAUUAGAGUUUUAAUUGUUCUUUAGUUUUUGGAAUUUAUGUUCUUGUUAUCUGAUUUUGCGAUUUCUGUUCUCGUUAUUGAGUUGGGUUUUUUUUUUAAAUUCCAUAUAAGAACAACAUAAUUAAAAAAAAUAAAUAAGGGCUUUGGCAUCGGUUCUAGAUUGAACUGUUGUCAUAGGCCCUUGUUAUUACCUCGGGUGCAUAAGAACUGAAGUAGAAACCUUGGACAUAUUACCUCGGUUAGAACCGAGGCCAAAAGUCCUCACAUUUUUACCUCGUCAGUAUAUCUCUUGGUUCGAAAACCGAAACGUAUUAUAAAAAAUAAUUGAUGUCGUUUUCUUCUGCUGUACUAGUGGAUAUCAAGAGUGAGAUAUAUAUAUAUAUAUAUAUAUAUAUAUAUAUAUAUAUAUAUAUAUAUAUAUAUAUAUAUAUAUAUAUAGAUAUAGAUAUAGAGAAAGAAAUAAUUAUUGAUCUAAAUUUAUAAAAUACAUUAAAUUUUUGAAGUCCUUUUCUUUGGACAUUUAUAGCAAUUUUCUUUAUAGGAUAUACCGCAUGAUAUGUUUUGAAUACCAGAAAGAGAUUGAUAUGUUAGAUGAGAAAUAUUAAUAAAAUAUUUUAAAAUGAUUAUACAAUAGAGUAGGCAUGUGUGUGUAUGUAGUGGAAUUGUGAGUUGAUGUAAGCCAACUGAAACCAAUUAAUACAGUACCAACCUAAAAGACGAUGGAUGGAAAAUAAGCGCUUUCAAAACGCCACCAUGCACAACGCAUUUUCAUUUUUUUUUUAUCUUUACAUGUUACACGUUGGUAUUAUAUAAACGUAGUCCGGAUGAAACCUUUUGUUUUCACCAAUUCGAACGGAUGAAAACGCAUUUUAACUUCUCUCCUAAUAGAAGAAGGUUGUGUAAGAAUUUGUUUUAUAUGUUUAAAAUAUUUUGUUGAAAAAGAAAAAAAAAGUUGAUUUUAUAGAUCCAUGGAACCUAGCUCCACUUGCAAUGCAGUCCCAAUAAAGAGGCUACAUUGGAAGGCAUGGAGAGAAAGGAUGACAGAAAUUCCAAAAGAACACAAGGUGAGAAAAGGUUGGCAGAAAUUCCAAAAGAACACAGUUAGGUGCCCUUUUGGCUUUUCAGUAUUGUCUUUUGCUUCAUAAAAGAGUGAGAAUGAAUGGAUUCCAACAGGAGAUGUGGCGGCACAGCAAUCCAUGUAACUUUGCAUAUGUUCGGUUUAUUAUACUACCAACCAUCGGUUCUCAUUCCACUCUUAAAUUGAUCGUGAAUGAUGUUUAUCGAGAAGACAUAAUACUAAUAAUAUCUGGAUUUAAUUAUAUAAAAGAUUUACAUCACUCUCUACUAAAAUCCUUAUAACAAUAUAUUAAUAAAUCUUUUAUAGGGUGAUCUAUUUUCUCUUUUAUAUCUAAUGUGAUAUUUGAACUCACAAUUAAAUUUUCACCUGCGUAUGCAUCAACUUCUAUGUACACUCUUUAAUAGUGUGUUUCUUAGGGAGGAAAACCACAAGAUCAAGAAAGGGAAUGAUAGUUAAUCAAUGUCUUACAACCAUAAAAGCUACAAGUGAUUUCUUUUACCCCUCUGGUUGAAUUUAUUAGUUAAUUGUUUUAUGAAUACAUUUUACACUUUUAUGUCAAUGCCGUGUUACUUUUUUUUAUCGAAAUUCUCAUGUAAUUUUUGAAAUGAGACACUCGUGUGGACAUAAUCAUAUUCAUAUGUAGUCAUAUAUAUAUAUAUAUAUAUAUAUAUAUAUAUAUAUAUAUAUAUAUAUAUAUAUAUAUAUAUAUAUAUAUAUUGAGUGCAAUUUUCUGGAUGAGCACGUUUAUCAUGUAUAUGUGGACACAACUUGUGGUGGAAUCUCUAUUGUAAUUUUUUAUCAAGCUUACUUUUACACAUA
rnacentral:lncRNA from 1 species